rnacentral:lncRNA from 1 species
ACCCAACUCUAAUAAGGUUUUGAUAUCUGGAGCUCAUGGGUGGGAGACAGCUAAUACAUACUUACAAGACAUUUAUUGCAUAGUCAAACCAUGGAUCCAAAGAGACAAGUCAAUAAGUCAAAUCAAGAUGUGCAUGUGUGGCGAAUGAAUGGUGAUAAUGGUGAAAGUCUAAUUCUACUUUUGCUCUUUUGAGGGGAUACAUACCUUUCUUGCUCUUUUGAAACUUUUUGAGGAGAAUGAGAUGCUCUAUAUUUUCUUUUUUCUUUUCUCUCAGGUGGGUAUCUUGUACCCCUAAUUCUACUGUCGGACACUUGUCCAUUUUUACCUCUCGUCUCACUUUUUCUUUUCUUUCGAGGUUCCGGGCACUUGCCCCUUUUUAUUUCCUCAUAUCUCUUUUUUUUCAGAGCACUCACCCUCCUGGAAUAAUGUAGGAUAUAUGUGGAUGCAUAAUUCCGGAGUAGAAGCAGCAUGUGUGAGUGAACGUGCAAGUGAAUCUUGAUUUAACCACAUGACAAGAUCCUAGUGGUCUACACAGCUUGACCACACUCAAUGCUCAUAAGCAGUAAAAAGUAAAUGUGUGGCUCAACGUUUAGCAAGCAUGUAUAUAUGGCUGUGGUAGGAAUUUAAACUCUCAUCAUACAGGAACUCAUCAUGCAACAUUUUAAAGAUUUUCAAAGAUAAAAUUCUCCAGAAUUCUAGCAUCUCUAGUAACAGAUAAACAGUAGCUCAACCUUCCCAUAUCAUAUCCGUUAACGACUUAGACUUUAGAUCAAGUACUCUUCCCACAAGAUCAGGUUUAGAGCAAAUCUUAAUUAAUAACAGUCAUGCCUAAACUUGAGAGAGAUUUCAAUUUUGAGAACUAGUCAUGGCAAUGCAACUAUUCAUCAUUUCCAUGUGAGAGCUUAUCAUGAGGGUUCAUAGCAAACUUUAUUUAUUUAUUUAGCAAACUAAGCAAAGAUAUAUAAGCACAAAAUCUUAUUUGGGUUUUUAUGAUUAUGCAUCUUUUUAUUAUUUGAGUAAAGUAUAAACGCGAAUAGAAACACUUAGCUGGAUAAAUGGGGGUGCUCUCCCCCAAGCUGGAUGUGACAGAACCGCCCAAUUUAUACAAGCUUAAGUACGACUGUCCCCGUUUAACACGUUGACACGCGCAUACUCUCACUUAUAUAAACCCGGUAGUCUGCCGAGUGUCACAAAGGACUUCGGUAAAUCAACCUUACACCAAGAUCGCAUGAUUAAGCAAAUACACAUCACAUACACGGAGAUUUGCAGCGGAAAUAAUAUUACAAAAGAGUUCACAAAUAAUAGUACAAGUUUGGAUUUUUCCAAAUUGAUUAGAGAACAACAUAGCUUUCAAAUGAUUACAAUAACAUAAGUUUCAAAUACAUUGCUAGCAUAAGUGACAUCCUCCGACAAAAGCAUGUAGAUGAGAACAUUAUAUAGAAUCACCGAGCCCACCAGUGGUUAGCCACCAUCCUUAGCAGACUGAAAACUUCACCUGCAACAUGGUGGGAUAAACCCUGAGUACUCGAAUGUACUCAGCUAGACUUACCCGGCGGGAGAGAAAAUAAAAGACUCUCAAGGAUAUGCAAGGCUUUUUGUGGAGUUGGUUGGAUAGCAUAACAUUGCCAAAAAGAGCAUUACUAUCAUGAGUCCUUACUUUCAACCUUUUAGUCAAUAAUUUAGCAUCAAGUUCAGUUAAGCUACCAUAGCUAGAUUUUGCGCCUAUUCUAUAGCAAUCACUUGAUUAAUGAGCAUCACAUUAAUAACCAUAUCCAGUUUAUCAUGUAGCCAUCAUCAUCAUCAUAACCAUUAAGUUUCAUUUAGUUUAUCUACGUUGCCGCUGCUCGAGUCAAGUUCUCACUAUCCGGGAGAGAUGGCGAUUCGAAUCGAUUCCUAUCCAGCUGGAGGGGUAUUCCUAGCACUCACCUAGGCAUACUUAGCUAGAGUAGCUUGGAUCACCUUUAGCACAACUCCGGACCAAUUCACGGGUCCGUACGGCGCCGCACCCCAGGGACCGCCAAUCUGCCAGGGUCAGGACUCUAACCUGACUCCUCGGUCUUACGCCAUUGACUCCCCGCACAUCCUUGCUACUAACCGGGGUGCGCACUUAAACCGAACGGGGUAUCCGGCCAGAGAUGCACUCGUAGGCUUUGCGGUCGGAACGACUUAUCUGGCCAACUAAGUGUUAGGCAUGCGUUCAACAUGACACGAGGACGUACAGCGAAUUGGUCCUUAACCGACGCAGACGGGGAUAGAUUCACACCCAAGACCUCCAUGCCUUGUUGCUUCACUAUCGUCAUCCCGCCCAGUCUCAAAUUCAUUAUUAGCACAUGGUUAUUUCCACGAUAGCAAAUAUAGCCAACCGUGAUCAGGUAUCCACCUAUCUGUCGCAGGUGACAGGAAAUCACCUGGCUUCUACAGGGCUAAGCAUAGCUAAGCAUAGAACGUCUUCCUUAUACUAGUAAGGGUUCAGGUAGUUUCAUAUAGUGGACAAGGUAGGAAUAUAUGCACCAAUGGUUUCAUUCAACUCCUAUCACCUAAUGCAUCAUAUAAAGUUAUACUCUUGUGCUUUUAUAAAAAGAGAGGGCAGGAGACUUAGAAUGCUCCGGGACUUGCCUGGAAUUCGACACAAGUCAGUUAUGUCAGCUUGCAUCGUCUUGACGACAUCUAAGGUGACAACACUUGUUUAGUCCUUCCAUCGUCCGGUUAGGUCCACCAUCAUGUCCUUCACGUGGUUCAUCUAGCGUACCUAAAUGAGAUGCAAGAUGCAAGUAUAUGAACACGUAGAAGUGCAAUAGAUAAUGCAGCACAUGCAGCACAUAUAGUAAGCAAGAUAAGCAUCAUGUUACUCAACACAUACAUAUGUCGCUUAAAUAACAUAACCAACAUACUAAGAUAGAAAACAAUGCAAAACCAAGCAUAUCAAGCAUAGCACACAUGUUUCACAAGAUUUCAGGUGUCUUAACUUGGCCAUUAUCAAAGACAUGAGUCACACCUAGCAAUAUACCAAGCAAUGGCAAUAACAGGAAUCUGCCAUUUUUAGCACUGUUAACACCAGCUGAGAAAAUAAAUCAUAACUGGAGAUUCACAACUCCAAAAGACAUUCAAGAAGACAUUCUGGAAAGCUUACGAAAUUAUCUACAUUUGAAAUUCAGACAUAAAAGCAUGAUUCCCAACUUAAGCUGGUCGAAAUUAUAAAGAUCCAGAAUCUAUCCCUGACAAACAGAGAGCAGCCAUUUCUGGAAUCAAAAUUGGAACAGACAUAACUCACAAACCACAAGUCCAAAUACUACCAAAUUUUAAUAGCAGAUAGAUAACUGAAUUAUCUACAACUUUUCUAUAAACAAGAUUCCCAGAAAACAUCAUUUACAUAUUGUAAUCCAAACAGUUCCACAAACUGUCCAGAAACAAUAAUUGCAAACAAUUAAUUAUUAAUUUAUGUUUCAAACAUGCAUUUGAGCAAAACCAUUGUUACCAACAGUUUGCACAUAACUAAAGAACACCAGAAAACAUAGUGGUCAUUACCAAAUAAAUUUAUUUAAUGCCUUUCUUAAUUUAUUUGGAUAAUAAGGUGAGUUAAAGAACAUAUAACAAAAUUGCUCAAUAAAUUCCACCAAAAAUUACAGUAGCUUCUAAAUACUAUCUAUAGUCCACUGUAUAAAUUUCACUGCAUUUGAAUAAAGAUAUCAACAUCUAUGAAAAAGACAAAUUGCUAUUGCAAUUAACCAUGUGAGAGCAAGAUAAAUGCACAAAUCAUAUUUUCUUCAAACACAUGGCCAUAUCAUACAUAAACAUGAUACAACAAUAUCAUAGGAUUGUAUUGGAACAACAUUUUCCAUUUUUCCAUUUUUAGUUAUAAUUAUAAACCAUUUAUCAAGAUCCAUAAAGACAUCUCUGUCCAAAACAUGGACAGAAUCUAUCAUGUCACAUUAAACAGCCAUAACUUGAGUUUCAUAUGCCCAUAAAUUAUGGUUAUGUGCUUUCUAGAAAGAAUACUAAAUUGUGAACAACUUUGUUAUUAACAUCUAGAGCUAGAUCUACAAAUAAUAAGGUCUUACAUAACAAACAAUGCAUCCCUGUCUGGGUUUACACAGAAACUGAAACAGUAAUUUAAAUCACUAUAACUAAACAUAUGCUUGACCAAAAAUUUUGCUAUUUAGCUUGAUGGAAAGCUUAUGAAAAGUAAUACAACUCAUAUAUUUUCAUCCAGGCAUGAUUCACAACCUAACUGAGUCAAACAAUAUAAACAUGCAGAUCCACUCAGAAUAGGAGCAAGGCAACAUAGAGCAUUUGUUAUUUUUAUAACUCUAAAUCUGUCAUGCGUAAAUUCAUGAAACUUUUACCAGACAUAAAAUAUUAUAUUUAAAGCAUGCCACAAUAUUUUCGCAUUUAUUUAAGCAAUAAUACAUUGGUUAUGAAAAAGACAAAUAUAACAAGCAAUUAAAACCAAACUGCACAGAUCUAUUUUUACCGUUAAAACUUCAAACACAAACAUGGCAUAUUAUAGAUCUACUGCAUAGAGAAUUUCACAAGGAUUCCAAAAAUUCCACAUUUGCUAUUUUAAGAUUUUUCUAUGAAUUACUAUGGAUUUCUAAAGUUCACCCAGAAAUCUGCAAAAACAAAGGAAAAGGAAAACAGAUCUUUCACCGGGGACCCUUGACUUUCCAUGAAUCACGCAACCGCCCACAAAUACUGUUCAUAUGAGUCUUGGCUUCGCAUCUAGAACCCUGAGUUGUUUCUUAUUCAAACCCGAGGUCCCUUCUCUUCUCCAGAGGACACAGAGCAGAUCGGGUCGACCAUGGUUCCAACGACGGGGAAGGGCUAGCCAUGGGCGGUGCAUGGCCAACGGCUGCCAGUGGUAGGGGACAGCUGUGCCGGCAAGGUGGCCAGCCACGCUUGCGCCAUGCCCUGCAGCGGCGCAGCUGCUGUGCUGGCUGUCCACGGCGGACAGAGGGAGAGAGUGGAGAGGGAAGAAGGCGAGUGGAGGAUGGGAGAGCUUUGAGGGAGUGGAGGAGGACAGGGAGAGCUCUCUGGCGCUCGUCCACAAUGGUGCAGAGAGAGGACAGGGCAAGGUGGAGGUGGCAGCAAUGGAGGUGGGCGCUCUCUGCAUGGUCACCACGUUCCAGACACGCGUCGCCCUUUGAAGCAUAAACGCGAACACGUGGCGGGUGACGGUAUGGCCAGUGUGGGACGCCGAUUUGGGCCGGAUCUGGACAAAAUUUGGACAUGGACCAAAAACGAAGUUUGCCAAGCUCGGCCUGCCCUACAACUUUGAUUAAGGUGGCAUGGUCAUUAGAGUUGUAGAUUAGUAGAUAAUUAGAUGCCAAGUCACGAGUGUCAAUGAAUUGAUAAUGAUUAGCAAAACUCGAAAUUGAAGACCAAAACAAAGUCAAACUAGCGUCAUCUUUUUAUAUGCUCUUGUCCACAAUAUGUACUCCAACUUUUAUUUUGGGACCGAAGCAAGUUGUUUAGUAAAAUUUGGAGAACACGGAAUGCCAACGUGAUGAACUGCAAACCUAGACUUAGAAACUCAAAGUGCUGGAAAUUAUAGCAGAUUCAAUCUUGUGACUAUUAUUUGACAUGCUUAGAAGAUGAUUCAGACUUAGUACUUUUAACCAAGAUUGUAUUAUGCAAACUAUACUACAACUUUUACAAAAAGGACCUUGUACUGGUUCAGUAUUAUUUGGAAGAUACAAGGCUCCCAACUAGGGUACCCGAAACUGAGCACCUCAGGACUUAGCCAAAAUUCUGGAGUUCCAGAACAGCACUGCAUUGAAUAUUGUAAACUUAAUUUGACUAGGUUAGAGACAAAAAUAGCUCUUGAUCAUUAAAGAAAGUUUGUUCUACAGAAUCUAAACUACAACUUUCAUUUAAGGUCAAACCUCAGAACUAGUACAGAAGUCAAACUUUCACUUUGGUCAAUGCAGCAACUUGAUAAAGCUCAAACUAAGAUUUUAGGCUAAUUGAAGCAUUUUCUAGGCACAAGCUCAACAGGUACCCUUCAUGACUUUUGUUGUAGAGUUCAUCUAGAGUUACUUGGGCAGGGUUGCAAGGUUUGGUUGAUGACCCAUGGUUCCAUUCACUUAAUGAGGGCAUUCCAACAAGCAUGUAACUUAUCAUUUUAUGUGACCUUUUGAUUCCAAACUUCUUUAAACUUUUUGAGUGAUCACUAUAGGCAGUGAUGGAUGUGGGACACAUGAGAGAGGUUUCAUUAAAAUCACUCAAGUAUGCACUUUGAAAAGGGCCUAUAUGUAAGCAAGGGUGCAUUCUCCAAGUUUAACUUGAGGCUCACUUUCAUGGAUUGACUUUAACAUGAUCAUCACCACUUAUCAUGACAUGUUUGAGCUCAAAACCUAAGGUCUAACUUGUGACAAACACCUAGGGUGUUACACUGGAUUUUGAUGUAAUUUCUUCUGAUGUAGCUAGCAGGUGGCGGAGGUGUAUUUGAAUGUCGGCAGCACCCUGACAGCGAUUAGGAUGUCCUCCGUCUACUAGUAUUCUUUGAUCCUUGAAUUUUGUGGAGCUCAAAUAGACAACAAAGCUUGUGGAACUAGUUAAGUGUUAGCAUAAAUAUCUAGCCUUUAUCAUGUUGAGCCUCCUCAAUAAAUGUUAUACUCUUUGGUAGGAUCAUAAAUUUAUUUUUAUAUUUUCAUUUUUAUAGCACAUAAAUAUAUUUAUUUUAUUUUUAUGCAACCACAGUGAAUGUACUUAUGGGUUUUAUGCCAUGAGCAUACUCACAUGGGGCUUACUAUUUUUAACAUUUUUAUUUUCUUUUCAAGAUGAUAUGAACCUGAUUAACUAAGCAAACUAUUUUAAAUAAUUGAAAAGAAAAGGAUAACUACCAAAUUUACCUCUUGGCAAGGCGUUCGGUGUUUUUAAGUCCGCCGAACGGGACUCUCCGUUUUCUCAGUCGUCCUGGGAUUUGCUGGAUGGUGUAGUCGGUGGUUCCGGCAGGACCUGGUCUUCAUGUAUUCUCUCUACACACCUGACUCGGUGCUACGGUCUCCUCAGGAUAGUUCUGUUCAAGCUAUAUGUCUUCAGACAUUACCACUUCUCCUUCGUAGUCUACCCAUCCGUCCUUGAUGAUUUGCCUCCUCUAGUUGCGGUUGUGUCGUCUCCUUCUUGUCCUGACCUGCUUAAAGUCUUCAACUAUAUAGUUAGGGUCAGUAAAAUAGCGACGUACCUCGUCAGAGGGGAAGUGUAUGUAGACUUCUCUGGUUCCAAUAUAGAUGAUUGCUUUAACGGUGUUGAGGAACGGUCUUCCAAGGAUGACGGGUGGAUUGUACUCGUCUUCUCCCAUGUCAAUAACCUUAAAAUCAUCUGGAGCUGAAUGUAUGUUGGUUGUAGGGGCAUGGUUCCAUGCAGGAGCUGAUAGGUGACUGCGGCCAUUAUGUUGACGCUUGACCCAGUGUCGCAAAGCGUCUUCUAGAAGUUGUAUCCAUUAAUGGAGCACUGGAUGCUUGGCAUACCUAGGUCAUCAUUUUUGGUCAGGAACGGUGACUUAAGUCAACGAUCUUGACCUCCUUGAGCUGCAGUGACCAUUGUUGACACUUGCUAACACCACUUGAAUACUAGGUUGUCAUCCCCAGCAUCGUACUAGAGUGUACUACGGUAUUUAUACGCACACAGAUAAUCCGCAAGCGCACGGAUACCGUUGUAGCCUUUUACCCAGUUAAAGGUUUUAUCGUAUCCACAGGGAAACGGGAGAACUGAUCUACGCUCUAACUUAACCAAGAUAAAUAGAUAGGUGUAAAUAGGAAAGAUGGUAGAAUCGAAUAAGAACAAUAUUAAAGGUAAGAUAACAGUGAGUGAUAAUAUGGAAAUAGAGAGUAGAGCAAUUCUAGUAUAUGGGCGAUGGUAGCAGAAUAGAGAGGACAACUAUGGUUUCUCUACUUAAAAGGGGUAUGUCUAUGUCUGGGACAAACCACGUGAUAAGAUUACACCACAAAGGAUGCUUAUCCAUAGGCCGAUAAACUCUACCCAUCCUGCUAACGAGAGGUGGACUACAGAGGACCAACGUAACUGUCACAUACGUGGCCUACCACACGAUCCAGCUAGACAGGGGAUAUCCACAAGUAAUCUAGGUCUAAGCACCACGCUUACACCUAUACUACAACUCUAACCUAUAGGGUCCUAUAGAUUAGAAGUACUCAAAAGAGUUGUGAACCAGAACAUACAUGAUUAGUAAUUGCAUAAUGAAUUAGAAGUAGAUUACCAGAGUCAUCCCAUGAGCAAGAUUGAUUAGAACUUGAUCAUGACGAAGUACAACCGGAGGAAGAACCGACAGGCCGGCCUCUCCUCUAAUCCUACUUCGCUCUCCAUCUUGCUACUGUCUAGAUCUACUCUAGUUUAGAGAAGAGAGGAGAGCUCUCAUCUCUAAAACCUAGAUUUUGCUCUGUCUAUGAAUAAUGAAUAAUGAUCAAGGGGUGCCGCCUCUAAGGGCCAGGGGGUCUGGUUAUAUAGUCCCCUCAAGUGAAUCUGGGUCGUCGGAUCAAACCGACAUUGAUUGAACGGUUAUUCUUGAUCCUUUAGAUCGGUGGAGCAUAAUCCGCGAGAUUGAGCGUGAUUGGCCGAAAUAGGUGGGCGGGCGCCCAGGGCCUGGCUCCGUUUGGCCUCCGCUUCCUUCCCGUGGCUUCUGGAGUCUUCUAGAUGUAAGAUAAUUGUGCGGCACGUUGAUAUCUCUAUGUAAUCCCGACGUGUGGGCCUUUCUUCCUUAUUUCCUGAUAACCCCCUGCAGAAAUAGACAAACACCAAAACUUGUGGAAUUCUGUCAGAUAAAACCCUAAGUUUAGAUGUUGGUUGUAUUUGGAUCCUUUUCUUUAAUUAUUUGAUGAUUAUAUUUGGUACUUAAGGACCGUCAACAACUCCCCCAAGCUUACCUCUUGCUCGUCCCUGAGCAAGGAUGGACUCAAGAGUUUCUAGAGUGGUUUUAUGCCUUAAAGGUACACAUGCGUUUAAACAAGAUUUCAUAUCUAGGUUAGGGUAAAUUGUUAUGAUUUAAAACUUACUCAUAUUACCUUUCACCAUGGGGCUUGCAACCGUCACUUGUGUCUUGAGCAGUUAAAAGAUAGAACAGUCAAGUCAAGCGUCAUGUCUCUUGUUCUUGAUCAACUAUAGCUCUGGAGUUUUUGCAGAUUUUCAAAUAAAACUCAGAGAUUCCUUGUAUGACUCUCUCAAUUCUCUCUUUUGUGGUAUUUCUGGAUCAUUACCAAAGCAGUGAUGAUAUACGCCUUCUCUCAAAGUAUGUAGUAUUUGUGGUAUGAGGCAUAGUGAUAUUACCUUCUCUCUCACCCUACUUUGAUAAGGUUUGAUAUCUAGAGCUCACAGGUGGGAGACAGCUAAUACAUACUUACAAGACAUUUAUUGCAUAGUCAAACCAAGGAUCUAGAGAAACAAGUCAAUAAGUCAAAUCAAGAUGUGCAUGUGUGGCGAAUGAAUGGUGUAUGGUGAUAAUGGUGAUAAUGAUGAAAACAAUGGUGAAAGUCUAAUUCUACGUUUGCUCUUUUGAGGGGAUACAUACCUUUCUUGCACUUUGAAGCUUUUUGAGGGGAAUGAGAUGCUCUAUAUUUUCUUUUUUUUCUUUUCUCUCAGGUGGGUAUCUUGUACCCCUAAUUCUAAUGUCGGACACUUGUCCAUUUUUACCUCUCGUCUCACUUUUUCUUUUCCUUCGAGGUUCGGGCACUUGCCCCUUUUUAUUUCCUCGUAUUUUUCUCUUCUCUCUCUUUUUUUUUUCUUUUAGAGCACUCACCCUCCUAGAAUAAUGUAGCAAGUGGUAGUGACCAAAAUAUCAAGGGGCAUUUAUUUCACCGGGAAUAACAGGGAUAGGAUAAUGUUUUUGGCUAUUCUCUCCCGGAUAGGAGUAGAAUAAUUUUGGGUAAAUCUGGAGAUGGAAAGGAGUGGAUGUAUGUGGAUGCGUACUUCCGGAGUAGAAGCAGCAUGUAUGAGUGAACAUGCAAGUGAAUCUUGAUUUUAACCGCAUGACAAGCUCCUAAGGGUCUAAUAAGCAGCAGUAAAUGUAUGGUUCAUAGUCUAAUAAGCAUGUAUAUAUGGUUGUGGUAGGAUUUUAAACUCUCAUCAUACAGGAACUCAUCAUGCAACAUUUUAAAUAUUUUCAAAGAUAAAAUUCUAUAGAAUUCUAGCAUCUCUAGGAACAGAUAAACAGCAGCUCAACCUUCCCAUAUCAUAUCCGUUAACGACUUAGACUUUAGAUCAAGUACUCUUCCCACAAGAUCAGGUUUAGAGCAAAUCUUAAUUAAUAACAGUCAUGCCUAUACUUGAGAGAGAUUUCACUUUUGAGAACUAGUCAUGGCAGAGCAACUAUAAAUCAUUUCCAUGUGAGAGCUUAUCAUGAGGGUUCAUAGCAAACUUUAUUUAUUUAUUUAGCAAACUAAGCAAAGAUAUAUAUAUAAGCAUAAAAUCUUUAUUUGGGUUUUUAUGAUUAUGCGUCUUUUUAUUAUUUGAGUAAAGUAUAAACGCGAGUAGAAACACUUAGCUAGAUAAACGGGGGUGCUCUCCCCCAAGCUAGAUUUUGACGUAAUUUUUUCUGAUGUAGCUAGCAGGUGGCGGAGGUGUAUUUGAAUGUUGGCAGCACCCUGACAGCGAUUAGAAUGUCCUCCGUCUGAUAGUCUUCUUUGAUCCUUGAAUUCUGUGGAGCUCAAAUGGACAACAAAGCUUGGUGGAACUGGUUAAGUGUUAGCAUAAAAUCUGCUUGCCUUUAUCAUGUUGAGCUUCCUCUAAUAAAUAUUACUCUCUUUUGUAGGACCAUAAAUUUAUUUUUAUAUUUUCAUUUCUAUAGGACAAGAAUAUAUUUAUUUUAUUUUUACGCCACCACAGUGAAUGUACUUAUGGGUUUCAUGCCACGAGCAUACUCACAUGGGGCUUAGUAUUUUUUAACAUUUUUAUUUUCUUUUCAAGAUAGCAUGAUUAACUAAUAAGAUAUUUAAGGAAAGUAAAUAAUUAAAGGGAAAAGGGAAUGCAGAAAGAAUAAAUAUGGAUAACUACCGAUUUUACCUUUCGGCGAGGAUUCAAUGUUUUAAGUCUUCUGAACAAGACUUCUCACCGUGUUCAUUCUUCAGGUGCGUCAUUUGAUUCAGGUGUGGACCUUGACAUCUGCACCUCUUAAUACGGUGUCACCCAUGUUCUUUGUUUGCCCAGUAGUUCGAAGUGCGGUGUUUGUAGUAUUUUGCUCAGUGUGUUUGUGCUUGUAGACCCAGGUUCUUCACUUGGUGGAGUGUGAGAGUUGUAAAACUCCUUCAUGUUUUGCUUGAAGUGUACCUGCUCAUAGAGACAAGGCAGAGAUCAAGUGCAUGGGUCCUGUUGGUGGAAAACACCAACAGAACCAAAAGUGUAUUUGUCCUUCUCUAACCUUAAGCAUGGUGAGCAAGACAAAGUUGAUGAAUGAUAAGUUCAUGAGUAUAGCAUUUAAAACAUUUACCGGAUCAGAUUGCUUCAACCUUAUGGAAAGAUAAUCUAUCUAUGUAUAUGUCUUUUUAUUUAUAUCUCUCAAAGAUUGAAUGUGUAACAUUUUAGCUCAUAUGGUUAGGAGUGUGGGGAUCAAAGAUUAAAGGACUAAACAUGCUGAAUCAGUGGGGUUGGUUAAUUUGGAGUUAUAAAUCAUACAUGUUCGUCUCUUUUAUUCAUAUGAACGCCAGAACCAAGGAGGAGCUUAUAAAAGUGAUAGUCACAUACCUUAAGAUGUUACCUUAAUUGAAGAGUGAUGGUAUAGUAUCACCUUGUGGAAGCUUUCCUUUCUUUGUGCAUCGUGUUUGUGGCACCCUCCAUGGAUCAUCCCUUAUGAGCUACGUCUUCCUUGUGUAAAUUGUUAAACUUCAUGUGUCUCUCUCUUUGUCUCCAAUGUGAGUUUAUCUUAGGACUUCCUAGGUUGAUAGUGAAAGUUUUCCUGCAGGGGUUAGUCCGACAAAAUAUACCAAUAUCUACUCAAGUAGUUUUUAGUUCAGUAAGCAAACUAGACUCCAUGUCUAAUCAGAUUAAGGAAGGCUAUUUAACCUAAGCACCAUGCUUAAUUUAAAAGCCAAUGGAAGUAUGUCGAGUACUUCCAAACCAACACUUGCUAGUAAAUAGACAAAGGUAGCAUGACAGCAUUUAUAGAGAUCUACUCAAGUGGAGAUGAAGUAGUGUGAUUAGUAUUUAACAAAUUGAGCAUGUCUCAAAGGUAGGGACAACCAGCAUAGCAACAUGGCAAAGGAUGUUUUUAUGUAAACUACUCCCCCAAGCUUGAAUUUCACAAAAUUCAAGUUUGGAUGAAUUUAAUUCAGUGUUGCAUGAUGAUUGGUUGGACAUACCUUGUGCUUGUUAUUCAUCCAAUCUUCUUGCUCUAAUCCUGGAAAGGUUAGUGGCAAGAAUACCCGAAGGAAUAUUUUUACAAUUAUCCUUAUAUGCUCAAUACACAAGGUAAUGUUGUAAAUAAUUAAAAGCUCAUGUUACGAUCUGAUCAGUGCUUAUUUUAGGACACUAAGCUUGUCCUUGGGAAACCAUCAAUUUAUGUCGGCGAAGUGGUUUCCCUUCCAACGCUGACCUAUGUCAAGAUCAACUCAACGAGAUCUGCAAUAUUUAUUAUAGACAUAUGCAUCGACAACCACCCUUUUAAAGUUUUUAUAAAUAGAAAGGAAGAGGGGGUUGGAGAUCUCAAAUGUGGUGAUGUUGGAGAGACCAAUAGAUUGGGAAGAUGUUGCAUAUGAGCAUGGAGCAAACGAAGUGGCUAUGAAAUAAAUUCCAUGCUCAUUAAUGUUAUCUUCGUCUCCAAUUUGAAUGUUCGGAGUUUCUCCUGGAUUGAUCUCACCUAUGUCCUCUUCUGUAGUUGGAUGAAUCUCAUCUUCAAAGGGAGUCAAGAACUCACCAUUUGAAAUUGAGCCAAAGUCGGAAUCCAUUAAGGCUUCUUCCUUAUCCAUCCAUUCUACACAUUCUAGCCAAUUAGAACUUGUGAUCAGGAAAGGGGAGCUGAUAGAAUCUUCUAUAUAGCUUAGCUCUCCUUCUAUGGCAUUACUUGACAUGCCAUCCUUAUGGUCUUCAUGACUCCUAUGGUUUGGUCGUCUUGGUGAAUUGCUAGGAUCAUCAUGAGACUGAAAAAGAAGAGGGAUAAGAGGGAUCUCUAAGGUCAAGGAUGGACUUAGAACUUGUGAACAUGGAAGGGGAGCAGAUAGAAUUUUCUAUAUGGCUUAGCUCUCCUUCACUUGAUAUGUCAUCCUCGACUUCUUCAUAAUAGGAACCAGGACAUUCUCUAAGAGAACCAUUAUUGCAAGGAUUUGAAUUAUCCCUGCUUGAAGGUCUCUUAUGGAACCAAAAGUCCAAACCAUCAGCAUCUGAAAGAUUUAAGGUCGGAACUCCUUCCUCCCUUGGAGAAUUUUGGGGUAUUGAUGGUUUAGGAUCGAUAGCUAAAGUUUGGAAUUUAAGUGGUUGUGAUCUGGCUAUCAAAACUUCUUCUUCUUGUCUAGGAACUAGUUCUGUCUCUUUCUCAGGGAUAUAAAAGCUAGGAGACUUUCCGCUCAUUAAAUCAAUCAAAUUCCAAGCUUCACUAGCGGAUAGGUGGUGGAAAGAUCCUCCAGAGGCCGCAUGAAGGGUUUGUUUAUUUUCCAUAUUAAGGCCGUCAAAAAAGUGAAUUAGAAGAACUUCUGCUGGAAUAGAAAGCUUUGGGCCAGUGAGAGUAAGGUUAAUAAAGCGGUCCCAUGAUUUCCUAACAGAUUCUUCUUCCAGUUGUCUAAAAGAAAUAAUCUCACGCCGAAGUUCCGCCACUUUGGAGAUUGGAAAAUAUUUAAAAAGAAAACUAUUAUAUAACUCCUUCCAAUCUCCAUGAACACUUCCUACUUUGAGUUUGUACCAAAGUCUAGCUUUUCCCGUUAAUGAGAACGGAAAGAGCUUCCAUUUAAGGGUCUCAUCGGACAUGCCUUCAAUGCGAAGGAGGUCACAGACUCGAUAAAACUCUUCUAGGUGUGUGUAUGGGUUUUCCUCACCUUCUCCUGAGAAAGGUUGUUUUUGAACAAAUUCUAUGUAUUCGGGGUCUAUCUCAAAACUAGAUGCUAUGAUAGGCUUUGAAGAUUUUGGUGGUUCGAGAUGUGUGCCCGUAGGUCUAUGAAAUUCAUAGAUAGACAUAUUUGAAUUUAUGAUAGACCAGAGAUCAAGGAUUAGAUAAGAAGAAAGAAUAGCAGAGAUGAGGCAAAGGAUAAAAGGAAAUAUAUUUUUUUAAAUUUUUUUUUUUUGAAAAUGAUUAAGCUAGUUCGUAGUCAACUCAGCAACCGUUUCCCCAGCAACGGCGCCAAAAAUGCUUGUUGACACUUGCUACACUACUAAAUUUUUACCCUAUUGCACUGCCUAAUUUUUGAUGUUAUAGGGCUAAAAUUGAUGCGAUAGCUCAGUAUCUCAUCAAUUUCUCGCUUGAUGGGAGCCGAUGCAAGUGGUCUUGAUGCAAUAUCCUUUCGCAUCGGUUUGUUGUGGCUGAUGUGAGAAGCAGCUAUUGCAUCGUCCAUCCGUUGUCUCUUGCAUAAAAAAUGAGAGAUGCAAUAGCUUAUUGCAUCAAAUUCAUACUGAUGCAAUACAUCAAUUGCAAUGACUAACGUUGGGUGCAAUAGUGUAUAUUGCAUCAAUAUUAUGUUUGAUGCAAUAGAACCUAUUGCAUCACCAUUUUGGUUCAGUGCAAUAUGAACUAUUGCAUUGACUUUAUGUUCAAUGCAAUACAAACUAUUGCAUCGAUGUGAGGUUGGGUGCAAUACAAACUAUUACAACGACAUGAGCAUCGAUGCAAUACAAACUAUUGCAUCGACAUGAGGUUUGAUGCACAAGGAACUAUUGCAUCGAUAUGGUGUUUAUGGGAACAGAAUGAAUUAAUUGCACAGAAAUUCAUAAAAUUACAAAAUUCAAUGGCACAGAAAGGCAAUCAUAUUAAUAACUUGGAUCAUCAUCAUUCAAUAGUUUGUACAAUAUAAGGAAGUCAAAGGCUUCCUACUUCAAAGAAGAUAAUUGCAAAGUUCAAACUGCAUUACAAACCACUAACUUAUGUUACAAAAAGGCAAUCAUAAACAAAAAUACAUGUCUCUUAGCAGCAGUGAUGUUCAGUUGAUAUUUCAUAGGAGCAAUACUGCUCGCUACAAUGUGAAAUGGAACUUAUAAGUUGGGAACUGAAAAUUAUUUCUGAAAAUUUUGACUAGUUAAAGCUAGGUGUCCUGAUAGCACAUAUAGAGAGUAGACUACAAAUUAAAUGUUGUCGUAACAUGAAUUAGAAAUGAUUGUUUAGGUACCUCUUACUACUAAUUUUAGAAAAGAUAUAAAACUGUUAUAAACCCUGAGUUGUUUGUCUUCGUACUGGUCCAGAAGCAUAAUUAGUGUGCAAACACGGCCAAGCUUGUGUCUUCAGAUUGGAUAUGCUCCCUUUGUAUGGUAUGACUUAUUGGCAUCACAGAUUUAUAUUAGAUAGGUAGUAUAGCAAUAGAGGUAAUAGUAGAUUUAUAGCAGUUGUUGUCUUUGUAAACAGGGAAUAUAAUUAUCAGUCAAAUACACCUCCCAGGAGGAAUUUUUACAUAUACAGUCCAAAUAUGGUAAUCUGUACAUACUCUCAGGUUCUUUAUCACCCAAAUGCACCUCUCAGGUUCUGUAAAGUUGUUGUUUUUCUGUACAUAGCCUUUUGAUAUACGAAAACUGCUGGUGUAUAUGUUUUCCAGAUUAUUUAUGCAAAGUAGAAGGAUAUUCUUUUUUUUUUGUUAAUGAAGGUUCCCUAUGGCAGUGAUGAGGAAGACUCGUUUUCCUUCUUAGACCUUGAAGAACAGGAGGAUCCAGUGGAUAGGGUGAAGUGGCUUGUUGAGACAGCUAACAAUGACGCAAAAAAAAAGUUGAAACGCCGAACAAAUAAGACAUCGACUCGAGUUGAUGAGUCCUUCGAGACGCUCUUCGUUGACAUCAAGUAUGGGGUGCUAGAACCAUUUGCAUAGACCAAGAAGGGGGCUUCUGUACAGAUGUUGAGAGAACUAUUUGAUGGAGCUAAGGCGGAUGCAAAAAAUCAGGUCAUGAGCGAAGCCUACAAGUCCUGCAGUGAACUUGAUGAGUUCUUUGAGACACUCUUCGUUGAUGUCAAGUAUGGUGUGGUGAAGCCUCUCGAAGAGAAGAAAAAGAAGAUGAAGAAGAAGUGAAUUGCAUGUCUGAAAUGGAAGUCAGACCUGACGGUCACCUUUUGUAAAAAUGACUAUGUAUUUAGAUGUGUGUCUUCUGAUCUUUGGAACUUGCUACUGCAGUAGUAACUAAUUAAAGCACUCUAUGUGCUGCUGAUAGUAGUAACUGCUGGUGUCUCGUAGUUUGUAAGACCUAAUAGAAGCACUGUAUGUGCUUGUAUAAGUGUCGAGAACUACUAAGUAUAUGCAAGUGUCUGUUAGCUGAUGUAUGCACUUUAUAAGCUCUUGCCUGCUAGUUUUCAUGAAUUACCUCUGGUGACCUUUUUUCGUUGCAUGCUUGGGUGGCCACAGCCCCCAAAAACCUUUAAAGCACUACAACUAGGUUUGAAUCCAGCGCUUUCAUCCAAAAAAUGAGUCAUGCAAGUAUUUGGACAUGUACGUAGCUGAAAAUCUAAAAAAUAAUCAUUCACAACAUAAUUAACAGCAAAUUGUGAAAACUUAAAUAAAAAAUCAUCAUCAGCUUCAUCAUCUGUGGCAACGGCAGGUGCGACAACUCCAUCGUCAAUAUGAGCGUCAACAUCAUCUUCACCCUCAUCGCUAAAGUCUUCAUUUGGUUCUGGUACAGAAUGAGCAAUUGCUUUCUCAAUAACAGAUGUGUCAAUUGCUUCCCCUUCCAUAUCCGUUCGUCGCCAAUUCAUCAAGUCCCCCUGGUCGCUUCUAACAGUCAUGUGCUCCACCCCAACAAGUAAUGAGUCAACAUCAAAUUCUGAUUCCUCUUCAACAAUAGCUGAUUCCGGCAUGGAGAAAAGGUUUCUUGGUUUGAUUCGAACAACGCUGCACCAAUUUGAUUUCUUUGCAUGCUUGACAUAAAACACCUGCUCUGCUUGUGUCGCUAGAAUAUAGGGUUCAUCUGAAUAUCUGAGACGAGUAGUAUCAAUAUCUAUGAUUCCAUAUUGAUCUUUGUUAUACCCUGAACCUUUUUUCUUUGUUGGAGCGGGGACAUCGAACCAAUCGCACUGAAACAUCAUCACUUCCUUUCCACCAGGGAACGGUAGAGAGAUAAUUUUCUUAAUAACUCCAUACCAGUCCAUAUUACCCGUACUUUCAUCACCCUUAACAAGGACACCACUGUUUUGUGUGAUCAAGCUCGUCUCUGCCGACACUGUCCGAAAUAGGAAGCCAUUGAUGAAACAUCUAUUGAAUACACGAGCACGAUCAUCAGGUCCUUGAGAAAGGUUGUACAACAGCUCACUUGCUUUUCCUUGCUCAUAUUCUUGUUUGAUCUGUACUUCCAUUUAACAAAAAUUAAUAAGAUGCUUUCAUUACAUGCAUCAUAAUAUGAAAAAAAAUCUGGUGACUUACUUUGUCCUCAAACCAACCAACAAAUUGUUGCUUGUGUCUUCUCUCAACAUUAUGCGGAUUAUAUUUCUUUAGUAAAGCCUUAUGUACACUGCAGUGGGUAGACCAAACAAAAUUAAUGCAAAGAAUUAGUAAUAUAUCAUGUAAUCAAUAAAAUAGCAUGCUCAAAUGUUAAAUUUAACUAACUCAGGCAAUGUAGCACACUCAUGCGUAUUUGUUAGUAUGUAGUGCCUUAUUCUCAACAUCUCAGAGUCGUCCAACGCCUCAGAACUAUAACCUUUCCUACUGUAGUCAAGGUCACCAAAAACGCUCAAACCAGAUGGUGGUUGAAGCACUGUGGCACUUUCAUGGCGCUCUGGGCGACUUGGCAUAUCUUUGAAGAACUCAGAACAAAAUGUCAUGCACUCUUCUGUGAUAUAUCCUUCUGCUAUUGAGCCUUCAGGAUGUGCUUUGUUUCUCACAUAACCGUUUACUGUACGCAGAUAUCUCUCCAUAGGAUACAUCCAUCUAUAGUAUACAGGUCCACCAAGUGAAGCCUCUUCAGCUAGAUGAACUGGCAAAUGUACCAUGAUGUCAAAAAAGCAGGUGGAAAUAUCAUCUCAAGCCGACAUAGAGUCUCCCUAAUCGAAGUACUCAUGUUAGCAAGCUCCUUUACAUCUAGCUCCUUUGAACAAAGCAAACUAAAGAACCUACUCAAGUCAUUCAAUGGGACAACAACUUCUUCAGGCAGAAUGUUGCGUAGUACUAAUUGUAAAAGUUUCUGGAAUAUAAUAUGAUAAUCAUGAGUUUUCAGACUAGACAGCUGACACCGAUUUUCAUCCACACAUCUUCGAAUAUUGGACGCGUACCCAUCAGGCAACUUAACUUCAUGAAGAAAUUUGCAUAAAAGUUUCUUGUCAUCUUUUCCUAAUUUGUACAAAGCAGGUGGUAAGGUGAACUUACCAUUGUCACGCACUGGAUGUUGAUCCAUCCUUAUCCCGAGAUGUUGCAUGUCAAGCCGAGCUUCCUCAUUAUCCUUACUUUUACCUUCUAUGUUUAGCAAAGUGCCAAUAUGCUCUCACAUAUAUUUUUCUCGAUAUGCAUCACAUCCAAGUUGUGCCUAAUAAGCAAAUUUUUCCAGUACGGAAGCUGAAAGAAAAUACUCUUCUUCCUCCAGUUGUGCCAUCUCUUUUCUUCAUCACGCUGCUUCCUUUUUCUUGAUUCAGGACCUAAUUGGACUUGAUCAAAACUAUCAUACUAUUGCAACACCUGUUCUCCAGUUAGUGGUUGUGGUGCCUCCCUAUUUUCUAUCUUGUUGUUGAAGCUGACCUUGUUUUUGCGCCACUUGUGGUCCAUAGGCAAAAACCGACGAUGCCCCAUAUAGCAAUGCUUCCCACCAUGUUUCAGCCAUAAGUAUUCUGUUUCCACAUUGCAGUAUGGACAUGCAAACUUACCUUUCGUACUCCAUCCAGAAAGCAUCGCGUAUGCUGGAAAGUCAUUAAUUGUCCAUAGUAGAAUUGCAUGCAAAUCAAAAUUCUUCCUCUCCUUUGCAUCCCAGGUCACGACACCCUCUUCCCAGAGAACUUUGAGCUCAUCAAUUAAAGGCUGCAAGUAUACAUCAAUGCUAAUGCCAGGAAACCUCACUCCUGGUAUCAUCAUGGACAACAUCCAAUACGACUGUUUCAAACACAACCAUGGCGGAAGAUUGUAAGGAAUUAAAAUCACAGGCCAACAACUGUAUGACACAUUCAACAUACCAAACGGAUUGAAUCCAUCAGAUGCUAGACCAAGCCUGACAUUGCGAGGAUCAUUUGAAAACCAUUCAUAGGUUGCAUCCACAUGCUUCCAUGCUUUGGAGUCCGCGGGAUGCCGCAUUUUUCCAUCAACCACCAAUUCAUCCUUAUGCCAAUGCAUAUAUGAUGCUCUACUCUCUGACAUAUAUAUCCUUUGGAGCCGUGGAAUCAGUGGGAAGUACCGUAGGAUUUUACGUGGAACACGCUUGUCUGAGCCACAACUACUGCCAACAUCUUCUACCUUUUUGGACUGCCUCCACCUUGACUCACCACAUUUUGGGCAAUUAUCCAGGCCCUCAUAUUCUUUCCCUCUAAAUAACAAACAAUUAUUAUAGCAUGCAUCUAUCUUUUCAUAAUUUAGACCAAGGUCUCUAACAACCUUUUUGAUCUUCUCCAUACUAUCUGGCAGACAGUGCCCUUUAGGAAGAAUUAACAAAAACAGCCCAAGCACGAACUCCAUGCAAGCAUUACUACAACCAAACAUGCACUUCAUCUGAAACAUUCUGACAAUGAAAGACACUUGGGUUGCUUCUGUGCAACCUGGAAACAACUCCUUCUUGGCCUCUUGAAACAAUUUAAUGAAUUUCUUUGCCUUCUCAUUUGGAUGUUCCUCGUUGAGUUCUCCAUGUAUCUCUCCCCUGAUCAGUGAAUGUAACAUUUCUUGGGUACCAGCCAUAUCAUCAACAUCAUCAUCACCAUCAAUACCAGAACCUUCACAUAUACUUUCCUGCUCUCGGAUGAAGCUUUCAUCAAAACCUUUCCUAAGCAAAUGCUUCUGGACAUCUGACCAUUUUGCUGAAUGACAUGGAACGGCAUGCUGAACAUGGACAUGGCGCCGUUCCUCCUUUCGAGCUACCUCCAAAGGUGCUAUCAAGAAAAUCUGUUAAUCCUUGUUGCCACUCUCCAGCCGCAUCCAACUACUAACCUCAUGUGACAUUAUUUCCAACACCUGACAAACACACGCAAAGAUAAAUAAGUACAUGCUACGUAUUGCAAACAAAGUCAAAGUAAAUAGCAAUAUGAUUGAUCGAUUAUAACAACCUACUUCUAACAAUUAAUAUUUUUACCAUAAUAGAAAAUUAGGGCAGCACCUUAUUUAAAUACGCAGCAAGAACAAUAAUAUAAAAAAACAAAUGAAUGUAUGACAAAAUUAACAUGUACGUACCCUCUAGACUAUACAUAAAUCUUAUAAUAUAUAUAUGUACUAAUUUAUAUAUCUUGCAAAGCAAAAACAAAUCAAGUAAACAUAUUUUCAAUUCAAUUAACAUAUUUCAUAAUUAUCGAGGAUCACUCUAAGAUUCUAACAACUAAAUUAGAACAAAAAUAUGACUACAUGAGUACUGAGUACUACCAGUCCGAAAUAAUUAAUUUAGUCAAAAACGAUUCAAUGAAAAAAAGACCUAUAAGUCAGGACAGAUCGGCUAAUGACCUGAUGACUAUUGACGAACUGAUAGAUGAUUUGAUGUAGAAAUCGGCACAGGGCUGGGGCCUGCUCGAUCGUCGUGACAGCCUAAGCUUGAUCGGCACAAGGAGCAAGGACGCAGCAGGAGAUGCACCUCCCAGUUAGGGUCAGCAGGAGGAUGCGGCGUCAUCUAGUGCAGAUCAUCAACAGAAGCUGCGCCUCCUUGGUCAGCGGAUGGAUGUCGUGUUGACACAGAUUAGCAGUAGAAGAUGCGCCACCUACGGCCAGUGGGAGUAUGCGGCGUUGCUUCACCUCCUAGGGCCAGCGGGACAAUGCGCGGCGUCGCCUGCCGGUCCCCUCGCCCACGUACGUCGGACCGAAAACAAAAAGAACGAGGAAACAUAUCUUACGUAAAUACAUAUAGAGUCCAAACAUGAUUCGAUAGCAGUAUAAAAGAUUUUGUAUACUAGUCCAUGCAAAUACAAAUAACUAGCUUGGUGGUCAUGCAUGACGUGAACAAACCAGAGGGCACAGGUUCGACUCCUCUUACAGGUGCUAUUUUUUUAAUUAACAAUUCACUUUUUAUUUAACCUUGCAUCAAACACAAAUCUGUUGCAACAGUACUUCCUAAUUGCAUCCAUAUUCUAAACCAGUGCAACACAACCAACAUAAUGCAUCGACAAAUCAGUACUAACGCAACCAACGGUGUCCGAUGCAAUAAUUUCUACCUAUUGCAUCCCUUGUUUGAAAUGAUAUUAUAGAUCAUAGCUAUUGCAUCGACACGAAUUAUUAUGGCAUCCAUCUAAUUUUCGAUGCAAUAAGAACGACCUAUUGCAUCAAAUUUCGAAAAUUGAUGCAAUAGCGUCCACCUCUUGCAUUAGAUUUGUAUUUGAUGUAAGAGGCCUUGAUGCAAUAGGGUAAAAAUUUAGUAGUGCUAACACCACUUGAAUACUAGGUUAUCAUCCCCAGCAUGGCACUAGAGUGUACUAUGGUAUUUAUACGCACACAGAUAAAUCCACAAGCGCACGGAUACCGUUGUAUCUUUUACCCGGUUAAAGGUUUUAUCGUAUCCACAGGGAAACGGGAGAACCAACUACGCUCUAACUUAACCAAGAUAAAUAGAUAGGUGUAAAUAGGAAAGAUGGUAGAAUUGAAUAAGAACAAUAUUAAAGGUAAAAUGAUAAUGAGGGAAUAUAGAGAGUAGAGCAAUCUAGGAUAUGGGCGAUAAUAGGAGAAUAGAGAGGAUAACUAGGGUUUCUCUACUUCAAAGGGGUAUGUCUGUCUGUGGCGUACCAUAAGUAUAAAACAACACAGAGGAUGCUUAUACCUAAGGUCGAGGACUCCUACCAGUCCUGCUAACGGGAGGUGGACUACGAAGGACCAUCAUUGCUGUCACCUACAUGGCCUACCACACGUUCCGGCUAACAGAGGAUAUCCACAAGUAAUCUAGGCCUAAGCACCACGCUUACACCUAUACUACAACUCUCACCUAUAGUGUCCUAUAGAUUAAAGUACUGAAAAGAGUUACGAACCAGAACAUACAUGGAUAGUAAUUGCAUAAUGAAAUAGAAGUAGAUUACCAGAGUCAUCCCAUGAGCAAGCUUGAUUAGAGCUUGAUCAUGUCGAACUACAACCGGAGGAAGAACCGACAGGCCGGCCUCUCCUCCAAUCCUCCCUCGCUCUCCAUCUCGCUACUAUCUAGAUCUACUCUAGUUUAGAGAUGAGAGGAGAGCUCUCAUCUCCAAACCCUAGCUUUUGCUCUGUCUAUGAAUAAUGAAUAGGGAUCAAGGGGUUGUCUCCACCAGGGGCUAGGGGGCCUGCUUAUAUAGCCCCUCCAAAUGAAUGGGGCCGUCGGAUCAAACCGACCUUAAUCGCACGAUUUUCCUUAAUCCUUUAGGUCGGUGGAGCAUAAUCGGCGAGGCGGAGCCUGAUUGGUUCCUGUAGGAGGGCGGGCGCCCUGCCCCCAGGCCCACUCGGCCUCCCAUUCAUUCCCGUGGCUUCUGAGUCUUCUAGAUGAUAGAAAAUUGCCGCACACGUCAAUAUCUCUAUGUAAACCCGAUGUGUGGGCCUUUCCUCCAUAUUUCCUGAUAACCCCUUGCAGAAAUAGACAAACACCAAAACUCAUGGAAUUCUGUCACAUAAAACCCUAAGUCUGGGUGUUGGUUGCAUUUGGAUUCUUUUCUUUGUUUAUUUGAUAAUUAAAUUUGGUACUUAAGGACCGUCAACAACGGUUAAUUAUUAACCGUGGCGGUUGUCUUCUGGCCUGGCCGGCUUGAACCGGCAGUGAAUAACCAUGGUGGGCGAAACCAACGCCCGCCUCGGAGGGCUUAUGUGUAACGUUGUGCAAAAUAAAAUUUGUAGUAGUAUGUACUAUCUCCUCUUUUGCUGUUGUGGAAAUGAUCAAACUCUAGCACUGUAACAAAGUAAGUGUGUGUACUUUCGAAAGUGAAAUGCUUCUGCUACUUAAACUUGGCUUGUAAUAACUAUAUUUGAAAUCUGAUGUAAUUUCUAAAUGUUGUGAACUUGAUGUAAUUGUGGAUGGUGACUGCUAAACUUAUUACGAUCUUGGCUGUAUGUGCGAAAUGUGGUUUGAAAUCCCUCGAGAUUUCACAGACUACCGGGAUUAUAUGGGCUUAAGCCUGAUGGUUUAACUACGCAAGUGGUCACUGCCACGCUUAAUCUCUUAUAAUUUGGACGAUUCUGUUACAGAAUCCUCUUGACAGAUUUGGAAACCAAUCGAAGAUUGAUUCCUUCUAGUUCUAAUCCUAUGUAGCUAUGCUAAACUAGAAAUCUAGUUGAUGUGGUGGCUCUAGGGCUUGAUCAGGGGCUUCUCCUCUUAAGAUUAAUAUGAAUAAUGAAUUGUUGGCUCUCUCCAGGAGGCAAGGGCCUUGCUUAUAUAGCCUCCUCACAUGAACGUCGGCCGUCGGAUCAAACUGACCUUAAUUAUGUGGUUUAGAUUGAUCCUCAAGGUCGGUGGAGCAAGAUCCAUGAGGGGAGCCUGAUUGGCCAGGGAGCCAGGGCGGUCGCCCCCCUAGGGCGAGCCCCCUAGGUGUCACAGAACCAACCAAAUUAUAAGAGUUCAAGUGUAGAAACGAUCGCGCAGGCAAUCAUGUUUCCAAACUUGAGCUCAUAUAAUCCCGGUAGUCAACUGAAACCACGAAGGAUUCCAAACCAACUUCACGACAAACCAAGAUCGUAAUAGUUCAGCACAACACAACGAUUGUUACAUAGUUAAAACGCUGUCGAUGAAGCGACACCACAUCAGAGUUUACUUAAGUUAUUACAACACAACUUCAAGUAGCGGAAGCAACAUAGUUUUCACACACACAUCACUAGUUCUUAUUACAGCCAGGGUUUUAUCACAGCCACCAAAAGCAUCAUAGGUACGAAAUCGUUAGAGAACCGCGCCAACAGUUUAGUCCUCAUCCCCAGCGGGGUGAAGACAGGUCUUGCAGAAACCAUCAUAGAAGAUGUCAUCUGCAACAAGCGGGAAUAAACCCUUAGUACGAGGAUGUACUCAGCUAGAGUUACCCAUCUAACCACACAUAAAAGACACCAAGGAUCAUGCAAGGCUGAGUAUAAGUGGAGCUGGCUUGACUCAUAAAUUUGCGAAAGUGCUUAAAUUGGUUAGUAACCAUUCUUAUUAGCAUCAUUUCGAUUAUCAUUAGCCUAUCACUAGAUUAGCACCUGGACUAAGCACUUUGUUGAUAUUUGGGAACGCAAUAAGGAAUUGAUCCGCAAGCACACGGAUCUCGGUGAGCACUUCACCCGGGAGGUUAUCUAGAGUAUCGUAUUUAUUUUUUUACCACUAGGAGAAAGAGUGCAUCUGACUAACCCGGUCUAUUACUACUAACCCUUUAGGCAACAAAGAAUGUUUCUCGAUGUGAGUGAUAAAUAGAGAAGACUGCAACCGUAGUCUCCUUCUAACCUUGGUAAGGAUGAUCUACUGUUCUAUUGGGGAGGCUAAUGGAAUCUAGACACCACAGAGGAUGUUCAACCCGCACCUAUAAACCCUAUCCUUCCUGCUAACGAGAUAUGGUCUUCAAACGUAACUCGGAAAUGUCACGUUCCUCGCUACUACCACGGUCUAGCUAGUCAGGGAAUAUCAAUGAGUACCCUAGGCUAAACACAACGUUUACGCUAGCAAUGAUUACUCUAAACUCUACGCGAAGAGAUUAAAGUAAACUCAUAAACCAAAAGAACAAUAAAACAAGAACUUACUAGAAUUUAGAAGUCAAAAUACUGAAGAAUACUAGGAGCAAGCUUUGGGUUAGGAGAACUUGAUCCCGCAGGUACAAACUCGGAGUAGACACCGACAGGCCGGGCUUCCUCUGAUCUACACCUCCACUCUAUCUUUGUCAAUCUAGUAGAAACUAGAAGAUCUAUUUCUACUCACAUUGGUUGCUAAGCCUAAAAGAACUUUUGUUUAGAGAAGAGGUUUUCCUUCAAGGGCACCCCUCAACUCUAUGAUAAACUUGUCUCCUCCAAGGGCCAGGGGGUCUGGUUUUAUAGUCCCUUCAAGUGAACGUGAGCCGUUGGAUCAAACCGACAUUGAUUGGACAGUUAUCCUUGAUCCUUUAGGUCGGUGGAGCAUCGUGUGCGAAAAGAGUUCUGAUUGGCAUCCAACAGAGGGCGGGCGCCCAAGUCAACUAGGCGGGCGCCCAGGGCUUGGCUCCAUUUGGCCUCUGCUUCCUUCCCGUGGCUUCUGGAGUCUUCUAGAUGGUAGAAAAUUGCGCGGUGCGUUGAUAUCUCUAUGUAAUCCCGAUAUGUGGGCCUUUCUUCCUUAUUUCCUGAUAACCCUCUGCAGAAACAGAUAAACAACAAAACUCGUGGAAUUCUGUCAAAUCAAACCCUAAUUCUAGGUGUUGUUUGCAUAUUGGUCCUUUCUCUUGUUUAUUUGAUAAUUAAAAUUGAUACUUAAGAACCGUCAACAAAUACCCCCAUACUUAGGCUUUUACUCGUCCUCGAGAAAAGGAUCGUUAAGAACAAUAUCUGGGGUAAAACAUUUUAAAACAUUCUCUUCAUAACUGCAGAGUGUUUAAAAUCCACUGUGUACUGUAGUCAGGGAAGAAUAUGGUUAAGAGUAAAUAUCCUUUCUUCUUGAUCCUGUCACUUGGAGUUUUUCUUUUAUUUUUGAAAAGAAAGUUAGCACACCUUUUAUCCUCAUAGGUUCUUUCUGAUCACUCAUUAUCUUUUAUAUCUCACUGAGGCUGUUUUAAUUUACAAAAAUUCUUAAGCAUACUUACUUUGCAUUUAUUGCCUGAUCAAAAUGGGAUCCGAGGAGGGAAAUGUCAUACUCUUAGAUCAAAGACUUUGGAAAUUAAAAUCUUUGUCAACUCUUGCUGGCAUAUUGCUUAUUAGAGGGACCAUGGGCUAUCAUUUUCUUUUUUUUCUCUUUUUUUAAGUAGAUACCGAGGUACCCCUAAUUCUACUGCCGGACACUUGUCCUUUUUUUAUGAGGUUGUCGAGCACUUGCCCCUUUUUAUUUCCUCAAAAUAUCUUUAUUUUUGCAUAGCCCAUGCCUCUAAUGCAAUAAUACUUCGGAAAAGUGAAUCUUUCUGAAUAAAUGUCUUGAUCUUAGGAGCAUGAUAAAUCUCUCAACAAGGGUCUAACUCAUUUUGAACAAACUCAAUACAUAGUAGAUAGCUUUUAUAAUUAUAAUUGAUAUUUUCAGUUUUAUCAGGCAUAUAAAACGCUGAGGAUGGUAGCUAGGAUUUUUAAAGAUUUUGAAAUAAAUUCUCCAAGCAACAAUGAUAUCAAGAAUAAGAAAUUCAUACUCUACCAUCUCACAUUCCAUAAUGACUUAAAUAACACAGGGUUUUUAAAAUGAUUUUCAAUAAUUGCAAGUUUUCAGGAAAUAUCAUAGAGAGAUUAAUCAUGAUUAGAAACAUUUUAAAUCUUUAUCAUGUCGGAAACAAUAUUCUGCAUAAGCCAAGAUAUUUGUAUGUGUAAAGUAUGCAGAGUGUGUACCUGAAUUGUGGAGUGGUGUAGUCGAAGUGUGUUUGGCGUGUCGAGGGAUCUCCCCCACACUUGUUUUCUGCUUUCUUGCACAAGAAUAAAGUAGAGACACACAAGACAUAAUAGUAAUAAUAAUAAUAUUCUUUAUUGAUCUUGAGGCAUUUAUUACAAAAGACUAGUAGCAAACUGACGAUAAUAGUAGCAAACUGGUGAUAAUAGUAAACCUAAACCGAAUUUAAAGAUAGAUACUAGGAUGCAUUGCCUCAAGGUCUAAUCUAGAUAACUUAGCGGCGCUCUAAUUCCUUAAUCUUCUUAUUGGCACUAGCAAGGUCAUGCCUAAGGCCUAAUAUAACGGUGUUGUGGUUAGAGAGCUGCCUAGUGAGGGAAUUAAUCGAGGACUGGAGGUCUAUGAUAACUCUGUCUAGCCUGCGAAUGUCCUCAUCAAUAUCCAUUAUAGUCUUGCGACGCUUGGGAGGUGUCUCAAAAGCAUUGAGAGCGUGCUUCGGGGCUGCCUUUGGAGGGAUGAAACGGACUUUGGCUGCUCUAACCCCUUCAAAGUAAGGUCUCUCCUCCUCCGUAGUGUAGCGAAUGCUGCUGAUCUCGCCGCUCCUGUUGGUCUUGACUCCAAUGACCCUCUCAUUGGGUCUAGGUGGAAGGAUCCUUGUGCCUGUUGGCACCUGGAUGGUGGUCUUCGUAUUGGAUGAUGAUCCCUUGAGGAGUAGGGGUUGUGGCGGUGCGGUGAGAACUGGUUGAGCAUGAUAGGAUUGGGUGGAGCUGCGUUGGAGUAAUGGCAUGGCUUCUAGCUGUCGCUCUGUGUUGGCCGGGACGAGAGCACGGGCGUCGGGGUCUUCCUCAGCCUUCAUGUUGAGGUUGAAGGGGACGACUUCCCAAUCAUCGUGGAACUUCUCGGCUAUUGGAGCAGCAAGGGACUAAUCAAGCUCUAAUUGAAGAAGAAGAGAAGGCUUGGUGGUUUGGUGUUUCAAAACGGAUGUCAGAGGUCUGUUUAUAUAGGGGUCAAAAAGUGCCUCUAGGGGUUGUUCUAGUUGCUCCCGUCGAUGGGCGUGUGAAACUUUCCAUCUACGGGAUUAUAAGGAUUACCAUAAGUGCAUUUUCCAUAACAGAGAAAAUCGGGACCGAGGGGGAACAGGAGCUGGGCGCACGCCCACCUGAUUUGGGCGCCCGCCCUCUCUCUGGCCCCUCUAUGGGCCCACUUUAUCGAGCGCGUUUCUAGAUGCAAAACUAUUUAGGAAAAUAUAUAUAUGACCCAAAAACAUCAGAUUAAAAAGGUCGGGCUCUAAUUCUCCAUGGGAUGGUAAAAAUGGACUACGUCUAUUUCUUCUAAUUCUUUAUUGGGCUCUAAAAAUAAUUUAAGACGUUGACCAUUUACCUUGAAUAACGUACCUUCAUCAUUUUGAAGUGUGAUAGCUCCGUGGGAUGAUGAAUUGAUUACCUUGAAUGGUCCUUCCCAUUUACUUCGGAGUUUUCCACGCCCGAAAAGCUUCACCCUGGAAUUAAAAAGUAAUACCUUAUCUCCGGGUGCGAACUCCUUCUUCUUGAUUCUCUUGUCAUGCCACCUUUUGACUCUUUCUUUGUAGAUCUUUGAAUUGUGAUAUGCUUUCUCUCGCCAUUCUUCCAAUUCUGAUAGUUGCAUUCUUCUAUGAUUUCCAGCGACAUCUAGGUCCAUAUUCCAUCUCUUUUAUGGCCCAGUGUGCUUUGAACUCUAGUUCAACAGGUAGGUGGCAAGUCUUCCCGUACACCAAUUGGUAUGGGGACAUUCCAAUUGGAGUCUUGUAUGCUGUCCGGUAUGACCAGAGUGCAUCCGGUAACUUGUCUUUCCACGUUGUUCCCAUUUCAUUUACUGUCUUCUGAGGAAUAUUCUUGAUUUGUUUGUUGGAGGUCUCUGCUUGGCCACUUGUCUGAGGAUGAUAGGGGGUAGCGACGUUGUGACGGAUUCCAUGUUUUGAUAGAUAUUGCUUGAAGCGUUUGUUGAUGAAGUGUGCUCCUCCAUCACUUAUCACUACUCUGGGAACUCCAAAUCUUGGAAAUAUGAUUUCUUCAAACAUCCUCUUUGAACUGAUGUUGUCGGCAUGCUUGCAAGGUAAUGCCUCUACCCACUUAGAGACGUAGUCAACUGCCACCAAGAUGUACUCACACUUCUUUGAUGGGGGAAAUGGACCCAUGUAGUAUAUUCCCCAAACAUCAAAGAGCUCAAUCUAAAGGUUGUUGGUGAGUGGCAUGGCAUCUCUUGUGUUUAUGUUUCCGUGCCUUUGACAUGGCCCACAUCUUCUGAUAUAUUGCUUCGUGUCUUCAUACAUUGUAGGCCAGUAGAAUCCACACUGCCAGAUCUUUGAAUGUGUACGGAAUGCUCCAUAAUGACCUCCAUAUGGUGAUGAAUGACAUCUGUCGAUGAUCUUCCAUCCUUCCUCAGUGGUCACACAUCUCCUGAGUAAGCCAUCAGAGCAUACUCGGAAGAGGUAUGGCUCAUCCCAUAUAUGUGAACGACUUUCCUGAAUAAGCUUCUUCUUGUUUGCUCCUGGUGGUACAUACCCUGAAACCAUAAAAUUAACAAUAUCUGCAUACCAGGGGUCAGACCUGUUAAUCCCAUAGAGCAUGUCGUCCCGGAGUGAAUCAUUGAUGGGGGUUUCCAGUGGACUCUUAAAAUACAUUCUAGACAAGUGAUUAGCAACAGAAUUUUCUACUCCCUUUUUAUCUUUUAUUUCUAAGUCAAAUUCUUGAAGUAAUAAAAUCCAUCUAAUCAGGCGAGGUUUAGCAUCUUUUUUAGUGAGCAAAUAUUUUAGUGCAGCAUGAUCAGUGUAAACAAUUAUUUGAGCUCCAACUAAAUAAGAUCUAAAUUUAUCAAUGGCAAAGACAACAGCCAGAAGCUCUUCUAGUGGUUGCAUAAUUAAGUUGAGCUCCUGUCAAAGUUUUACUGGCAUAAGCAAUUGCAUGAUGCUUCUUAUCUUUAGUUUGUCCCAAAACUGCCCCCACAACAUAAUCACUAGCAUCACACAUAUGGUUGAAUGAUUGGUGCAGAGAUGAGUGCUUUCUUUAAUAAAUUGAAAGAUGUUACACAUGCAUCAUCAAAUUCGAAAGGAGCAUCCUUGGCUAGCAAAAGAGUAAGUGGUCUAGCAAUAAAUGAAAAAUCUUUUAUGAAUCUACGAUAAAAACCUGCAUGGCCAAGAAAGCUUUGAAUUCCUUUUAUAUUCACAGGUGGAGGUAGUUGUUCAAUUACUUCAAUUUUAGCUUUGUCUACCUCAAUACCUCUUUAGACACUAGGUGUCCUAGCACUAUUCCUUCCCUAACCAUAAAAUGACAUUUUUCCCAAUUAAGGACUAAGUGCUUUUCUUCACAUCUUUGCAAAACCUUGUCUAAGUUUUCAAGACAACUAUCAAAAGUUUUUCCAUAAACAGAGAAAUCAUCCAUGAAAACUUCCAUUAUCUCUUCAAUCAUAUCAGAAAAUAUAGACAUCAUGCAUCUUUGAAAAGAAGCUGGUGCAUUACAUAACCCAAAAGACAUUCUACGGUAAGCAUAAGUUCCAUAUGGGCAUGUAAAAGUGGUUUUCCUUUGAUCAUUGGGAUGGAUCGGGAUUUGGUGAUACCCUGAAUAUCCAUCUAAGAAACAGAAGAACGAAUGGUUCGCUAAUCGCUCUAGCAUUUCAUCUAUAAAAGGUAAAGGAAAGUGAUCCUUUCUCGUGGCUUUGUUUCGUUUUCUAUAGUCUAUGCACAUCCGCCAUCCUGUGACGGUGCGUUGCGGAAUUAGCUCGUUCUUUUUUUUCAUAAUAACAGUCAUGCCCCCCUUUUUAGGCACAAAUUGAACUGGGCUCACCCACUCACUAUGCGGCACAGGAUAUAUAAUCCCUACAUGCAGCAACUUUAUAACUUCCUUUUUAACUACCUCUCUCAUAGUGUUGUUAAGUCUACGUUGGAGUUCUCGAGAAGGUGAAACAGAAGGAUCUAUUGGAAUACGAUGGGUACAAAUCAUAGGACUGAUUCCUGUAAGAUCUUGGAGUGAGUACCCAAAAACUGAGUGAUGUUUCUCAAGAAUGGUCAUUAAUCGUAGAGUUUGCUCCUAAGUGAGUUUAUCACUAAUGAUCACAGGAAACUCUAGAUUAUUGUUUAGGAAAGCAUAGAUAAGACCGGGUGGUAAAAUAUUAAGCUCUAUGGGAGGUCUAGGUGUUUCUGCAAACUCAUCUAAGGGUUCAAGUUCAGAAGGUUCAGCUUCUUCUUCUAUGAAGAAAGGAGUUUCGUCUUCUAAGUCUGGUUCAUCUAAAAGCUCUAGAGAUGCAGCCUUUACCUCCUCCAUAGGAUCAGGCAAAAGAUAUGACUCGGCCUUAUUGUUUAAGGAGUGUGAAAUUGUUAUUGGAAAUUUAAAAGUUUUCCCAAAAGAAAUAUGUAGCUUUCCAGUAUGACCUUCAUAAAGGAGUCUCCUAACAGGUUGUCCUAUCAACAGGUCAAAGUCCCAUGUAUCAAAGAUAUAGAAGUUCAAAUGAACCAUGGAGCCUUCUACCGUAAUGGGUAGGACAUUAAUAAUUCCAAGACUGGGAACAAAUCGUCCCGAAGAUUCCUUUAUGACCUUUGUUGUGGGGGUUAAGAACAAAUUUUUAACUAGCUUAAGUGCAAAAGAUUCAGACAUGAUGUUGAUCCCCACAACAGGAUUAUAGAGAGCAUCAAAUCGAUCAGAAAUAUAAGCACAGCGUAUAGUUAUAGAGGGUGUGUCCAAACGGAUCACAUCAGAGGAAAGCUCUGAUUCCUCCAACCACUCGCUACUCAUGACUGAGAUAAGCUCUCUCAAUUGAUAUUCAGUUGGCAAACAAAUGCUAAGAUGGCCGUUUUGGGGUCUGUUAGUAGAAUGAUAGUUUGAAAUGUUUCCAAAAGAUCAGAUUCUAUAUCCAGCAUGAAGUCCGGUGGUGGAAUUUCUUCCUUUUGUGGCUCAGAACUUGGGAUAGCUAAAGUAGAUGAAGAAUUUAGCAGUGUCUACUUCGGCUUCGUAGGUUUCAUCAUGAAUGGUAUUAUCCAUCUCAGCUUCUAGGAUUCUAUCUAAGAUCACUCUAGCUUCAUCAGUAGGGAUGCGAAAGAAAGAACCUCUAGACAUUGUAUGUAGCAUUUGUUUAUGAUCUUUCUGAAGACCUCAAAAAAAGUGAAAUAAAAGAACAGGGUCUUCAAGAUUAAGGUUUGGACCAGAUUCUAAUAGAUCAGAAAAAUGUUUCCAGGAUUUUCCCAAAGUUUCAUUAUCUUUUUGUUUAAAAGAUAGGACUUCGAGUCUAAGGUCGCCGAUACGGUCGAGGGAAUAAAAAUCUAGACAAAAAUUGGCUCGUAAAACUCCCCAUUCACCUCGUUGUUGACUUACCUUCUGACUGUACCAUUGUCUAGCUUCUCCCCUUAAGGAAAAAGGAAAAAGCUUCCAACGUAAAGUUUUAUCAGAAAUGCCUUCAAUGCGAAGACAAUCACAUGUUUGCUAAAAAUCUCUAAUAUGAAGGUAAGGGUUUUCGUCUUCCUUUCCCGAAAAAGAUAGGUUUUGAAUCAUGGCAAUCAACCUAGAACUUAACCUAUACUGGGAUGUUUGGAUAGGCUGUGACGACUCCCAUGGUAAAAGGUCAGUUUCUGAAGGUGUUGCAAAUUCAUGGAUCGAUUUAGCAUUUUGGUUUUCCAUAAGGUAAGAAUAAAGAAAAUAAACAAAGAAUAUAAAAGGUAAGAAAAGAUAAAAGUAUAGAUACAAGCUAGUAGUAAGACUCAAGGUUAUCUCAGCAAACCAUCUUUCUCCCCGGCAAUGGUGCCAGAAAUGCAUGUUGAUAUUUGGGAACGCAAUAAGGAAUUGAUCCGCAAGCGCACGGAUAUCGGUGAGCACUUCACCCGGGAGGUUAUCUAGAGUAUCGUAUUUAUUUUUUUACCACUAGGAGAAAGAGUGCAUCUGACUAACCUGGUCUAUUACUGCUAACCCUUUAGGCAACAAAGAAUGUUUCUCGAUGUGAGUGAUAAAUAGAGAAGACUGCAACCGUAGUCUCCUUCUAACCUUGGUAAGGAUAAUCUACUGUUCUAUUGGGGAGCCUAACGGAAUCUAGACACCACAGAGGAUGUUUAACCCGCACCUAUAAACCCUAUCCUUCCUGCUAACGAGAUAUGGUCUUCAAAGGUAACUCGGAAAUGUCACGUUCCUCGCUACUACCACGGUCCAGCUAGUCAGGGAAUAUCUAUGAGUACCCUAGCCUAAACACCACGUUUACGCUAGCAAUGAUUACUCUAAACUCUACGCGAAGAGAUUAAAGUAAACUCAUAAACCAAAAGAACAAUAAAAUAAGAACUUACUAGAAUUUAGAAGUCGAAAUACUGAAGAAUCCUAGGAGCAAGCUUCGGGUUAGGAGAACUUGAUCCCGCAGGUACAAACUCGGAGUAGACACCGACAGACCGGGCUUCCUCCGAUCUACACCUCCACUCUAUCUCUCUCAAUCUAGUAGAAACUAGAAGAUCUAUUUCUACUCACAUUGGUUGCUAAGCCUAAAAAGGAAUUUUGUUUAGAGAAGAGGUUUUCCUUCGAGGGCACCCCUCAACUCUAUGAUAAACUUGUCUCCUCCAGGGGCCAGGGGGUCCGGUUUUAUAGUCCCUUCAAGUGAACGUGGGCCGUUGGAUCAAUCUGACAUUGAUUGGACGGUUAUCCUUGAUCCUUUAGGUCGGUGGAGUGUCGUGUGCGAAAAGAGUUCUGAUUGGCAUCCAACAGAGGGCGGGCGCCCAGGGCCUGGCUCCGUUCGGCCUCUACUUCCUUCCCGUGGCUUCUGGAGUCUUCUAGAUGGUAGAAAAUUGUGCGGUGCUUUGAUAUCUCUAUGUAAUCCCGAUAUGUGGGCCUUUCUUCCUUAUUUCCUGAUAACCCUCUGCAAAAACAGAUAAACAACAAAACUCGUGGAAUUCUGUCAGAUCAAACCCUAAUUCUAGGUGUUGUUUGCAUAUUGGUCCUUUCUCUUGUUUAUUUGAUAAUUAAAAUUGAUACUUAAGAACCGUCAACACACUUCACUUGAUUAUUAACAACCAAUAAUAACCAUAUCAAGUUUCAACAUAUGUUCUUUCGUGCUAUCAUCAACAUCAUCAUUAAGGAACCAUUUAGUACAUAGUGGAUGCUACGUUUGUCGCUGCUAUGUCAAGUUCUCACUAUCCGGGAGAGAUGGUGAUUCGAAUUGAUUCCUAUCGAGCUAGAGGGUUAUUCCUAGCACUCACUCAUGCAUCCCUCAUCGGAGAGCAAGCGGGUGACCUUUGGUACGACUCACGAAUCCUGGCUCCGAUCAGCGCCGCACUCCCAGGGCUGCCACUCUGCUAGGAAGAUCAGGAGUUUUAAAUCACCGACCCUUGGUCUUACGCCAAUGCCCCCCCGCACACCGCACUUCAUCCGGUAGUGCAAACUUUAUACUUGCCGGUCUUCCGGCCUGAGUCAUACUACUAGGCUUGACGGUCGGAACGAGUUAUCUGGCCAACUAAGUGUCAAGCAUGUGUUCAACAUGACAAGAGGACGUACAAUGAUCGGUCCUUAGCUGCCACAGACAGAGUUACUACCACCUUGCAAAACUCCGCCCAACUUAAGUCAUUUUAAUCAGGUUAUUUUCCCACGAUAGCAAAUAUAGCUAACCGUGAUCCAGCAACAGACCCUAUCUCGCGCAGGUGACAGGAUAUCACACGACUUCUACCGAUUAAGCAUGGCUAAGCUACUACUCGAUCCUGACUCUAUACCAGAGUAAGGUGAGAUAUCUAGACAAGAAAAGGUAUAAUGCAGCAAGGGUUCCAUAACAACUCCUAAACAUAAUGCAACAAUAGAUAUAACAUAUUCAAGCAUGCUUGGAAAUUAAAGUGGGAGACUUAAGAUGCUCCGGGGCUUGCCUUUCACGACCGAAGCGGGCUCAUGACUAGGGCACUCGACUUCCUCUUCGGGCUCCUUGGGUUCUGCUGGCUGGACCUCCAUCUCUUGGGUGACUUCCGGACCUUCUGGAUUCACCCUCUCGAGCUCGAACGACACUGCGAUUUCCGAUGCACCUAUUGCAUGCACGUACGGAGUGAGGAAUGUAUGCAUACGAGGAAAUCGUGAAUGCUUGACAUGCUCAUGGUCACAACACUUCACUGGACACCAUUUAUGGAGUAAACUUCUUUACAAGCUUACACAAGAGUCUCACCACAACUUACAAAGAUGUACUAUCCUACAUAAAUAAACAGCAACUACAAACAGCAAGACAGCCCAAAGAAUAACCUAUAACUGGAGAUGUAUAAAUCCAUCAGACAUGAGUUAAGACAUUCUGGAAAGCUCAUAAAAUUAUUCACAUUUAAUCUUUAGACACAUCAGCAAGAUUCACAAGUUAAACAAGUCAAUUUAAACAAAGUUUCAGGUUCUGUCCCAGAAAAACAGAGAGCACCUAGUUCUGGAACUUCAUUUGGAAAAGCUAUAACUCUUAAACUACUUGGCCAAAUGACCCCUAAUUUUAACUACAGCUAGAAAAAAAAGUUUACAACAACUUUGGUAUGGACAAGUCUUCCAGAAAACAAAGCUAACAUCAACAAAUAAUCAGAUUACUCCCUUGCUAUCCAGAACAGCUAUAUAGCCUUUAAUUAAUUAUUUGUCAACAUAGCAAAAGCAUAUUUAGCGUCAACCAAGUGACUGAUAAGAACAAACAUGAUACAAGAUUAUCAGAAAACCAUAUGUUCAUUACUAAAUCCUUAAUUAUGAAGCCUUUAUUAAAUUAAUUCCAUAAAAGGGCAUAAUUAAGAGAUACCAGCAGGGGUGCUCAGAAAAAUCUACAAAAAUUACAAAACCACAAGCAAGACACCUAGACCUUACCAUAAAAUUUUCAGAGCAAUUGCACAUGCCAAACUUAAGAUAUUUAUUUAACAAGAGACAAGGUGCUUAUUACAUAAAUUAAGAAUCAUGGGUUAAACAGUGUCAAACAACAGAUUUCAGAUUAUUUACAUGAUACUACUACCCCACACUUGACACCAAAGAAGAACACCAGCAUAAGCAUACAAUAUUUACUAUGAUUUAAACAAGGAUUUAAGCCAUAACACCAACAUAAAUUACAUAUCAGAGAUACAGUGCUACACAAAUUAUGAAAUAUUUACCAAAGCACACUAGUAUCACACAAAGCAUAGCAUUAAAAUUUCACAGCAAUUGGAGCAGUGUAGCAAGAGAUACUUUGAAAUAGCAAGAUUAAUUCAUAACAAUUAUUUUUCACAGAAAACAUGCCACAUAUUAUAUUUUUAUUAAAAACUAGCCAUCUCAAGGAAUGCCACAAAUUUUGUUUCACAAAUUUUGGAGCUCAAGAAUAGGAGAUGUGAUUUUUGCAAGUUGGCACAAAAAUCUGGGAUUUGAAUAAAAGAGGAGGACGGAAACUAGGUCACUGACAGCGGGACCCACGUGGCAUAGUCACAAAAAACAGAGAGCACACUCGCCGGCGAAUGCUCGCCGGCGGUGAGCUUCUUCGGUGGAUCCAAGGACAUCAGCGUGCUCCCUGAGUCCUUCCGCGUCGAUAGAGGUAGGUGGUUCGAGAGUUGGAGCAACGGGGCGAGGUCGCCGUCGGCCAUGGCGGCACGGUGGGGCUAUCCCGGCUUAUGCCGGCCAUCUCCGACCGGUAGAGUGUCGGGGAAAGGCGGCUUAAGCAUCAGCAAGACAGUGUGGAGCUUCCUAGGUAGAAAGGCCUAACCGUACUGGCUUCAGUGAGCCUGCUCACGUGCAGGGUGGUCGUCGGCGGUGAGCGCGGUGGCACGGUGGCCGUGUUCCCGCACGACAGUGCCACCAAAGACGAAAGGGUGUGACACAAACCAUGACGGUGACCUAAGAAAGCUCUAACACGACUUAGAUAGAAGACAGAAAAAAAAGGAUGGAGCGGCGGCGAGGAUCGCCAGAGUUGGGGUCGCGACGGCCGUGAACCCGAUGACGGAAAACAUGGAAAAUGUGGCUCACCUCAGGGCAACCUCGGGCGACCAAGAGGUGGAGAGAAAGGCAGAGCUCGAGGCAUACUCAGAGAUGCCUGGAGAGGUGGCACGACACGAGGAUGAAGGCGCGUGGAGAUCGCGAAGCUCUUGGCGACAAUGGCGGUGUCGCCUCUGCCGUCGGAGGGUGCGAGAGAGGGACAGAGUGAGUUGGAGAGCGUUGGGCGAGUGUGGGGGUGGUCAUGACAUCCUUGAUGGCAUCGACGGCCUAACCAGUGGGGCCAACGCUGGUGUACGGGCGCCAAAUGGCAUCCAGGUGUUACGCUGGUCGGCCACGAUGGCGAACAAGGCUCGCCAUGAGAGCUUUCGUUGAUGUUUGAUAGAGCUACUUUGAGAAAGAUUAACUCCUAAACCAUGGAGAAUUAGGAGAUGGUGUAGUUGACAAUAUUGGAGUACUAACUAAGUUCUACAAGUUUGUCAACUAGAGCAAGAGCCAAAUCAGCCUAGAUGAAAAGAUAUAGAGCUUCCAAUAUCCUUUAGACAAACUAAUGGCGAUUUUGAGCAAGUUGUGAUAAUUUUCAUGAGAUGGCCAUAAAACAACUUUUGUUCCUUAUAAAAUUUGCUACAACUUUUGUUUAAGAAGUUUUGACAUGCAAAUAAACUAUGAAGCACUUUAUAAAAGCCUAAGCAAAAGAGGUUUAUAAGCCCCCUAGGUGAAACUAUGACUUAGGAACAUAAUUAGAAGAUAUGAUCAACAUGAACAUUGCUCCUUAGGUUGAGUUAAGCAAAGUUAAACCACUUACCAAGGUCCAGGACCCAUACAGGAGCAUGAAAUACUCAAACACUAGCAUAGGAAGCAUAAAUAAACAAAUUAAGCAACACAUACACAUAAAAUGACAUGUCCCAAGAUAUAUGAUGAUCAUGGUAUGCUUAUGAAGACGUUUAUGCUCUUGUCAUUCAUGUGAAAGGAUGCAACCAUAACACUGGGGUGUUACAGCCCUCCCCCUUACAAAAAUCUCAUCCCGAGAUUUGAAAGCUUACUGAUUUUCGAAGAAGGUUUUAUAAAUUUCCUUUAAAUAGUCCUCUGUUUCCCAAGUAGCAUAUUCCUCCUUGUGGUUACUCCACAAAACCUUAUAGAACUUAACCACAUGAUUAUGAGUUACCUGUUCCUUGCGAUCAAUGACCGCCACAGGCUUCUCUUCAUACACCAAGUCCGAUUUCAACUUGAUAUCCCGAACCUCCACUCUUUCUUCUGGAACUCAAAGGCAUUUCUUCAACUGAGAUACGUGGAAAACAUGAAAAAAUAGCUCAUAGAUCCACUAGAAGCUGAACCUUGUAGGCUACUUUCUCUUUCCUCUCACAAUCCGAUAAGGUCCCACAUAACGGGGUGCAAGCUUUCGCUUGACUCCGAACCUUUGUACACCCUUCAUUGGAGACACCUUGAGAUACACGUGAUCCCCGACUGCAAAGUCAAUCGGUUUUCUUCUCUUAUCAACAUAACUCUUUUAACGAGCUUGAGCAGCUUCCAAAUGUUGUUGGAUUGUACGGACUUGCUGCUCCGCUUCGUUCAUGAAAUCGAUGCCGUAAUACCUUCGUUCCCCAGGUUCUACCCAAUUCAACGGAGUUCGACACUUUCGGCCAUACAGGGCUUCAAAAGGAGCCAUCUUGAUGCUCUCUUGGUAAUUAUUGUUGUAAGAGAACUCAGCUAACGGUAACCAUUUCACCCAAGAUCCCUUGUAGGAUAGAGCACAUGCCCUCAACAUGUCUUCUAGGAUUUGGUUAACACGUUCAGUUUGGCCGGCAGUUUGUGGAUGAUAUGCAGAACUUCGAACCAAGUGAGUACCAAUUUGGUCAUGGAGACAUUCCCAAAAAUGAGCUGUGAACUGUGGCCCACGAUUUGAUAUGAUGGUGUGAGGUACACCAUAAUGACGGACAAUGUGCUCAAAGUGCAACUUUGCAUACUGAUGCGGACGGUACUCAGUUCGAACUGGAAUAAAGCGAGCGACCUUGGGCAAACGGUCCAUAAUCACCCAGAUAGAGUCAUAACCCUUAACACAAGUUGGGAGUGUAGAGAUAAAGUCCAUACUUACUUCUUCCCAUUUCGAACCAGGGAUUGGCAAGGGUUGAAGUAAAUCUACUUUCAUGUGAACUGCCUUCACGAGACAACAGUUAUCACAACAGGCAAUAAAAGCAGUGAUUUCCUUUUUCAUCUUUGUCCACCAAAAUAGAGGUUUCAAAUCCUGAUACAUCUUACUACUACUAGGAUGAAUAGAUAGCUUGGACGAAUGAUCUUCAGAUAAGAUCUGAUUUUGGAGCUCAUGGUUCUUUGGUACAACAAGCCGAUCUUUGAACCAUAGAAUUCCAUUCUCAUCGACCCGAAAAUGCUUAGUUUCUUCUUCUUUCAUCUUCCUCUUAAUAUGGUGGAUGCCUACAUCAGGUUGCUACAACUCAAUUACUCGAUUACGAAGAGAGCUUUCUAAGGCAAUCUGGUGAAGCACUAGUGGAUGCAUAAGACGUGACAAGGGUGAGUCUUCAAUCUGAACUGAAUUGCAGUGCUAUUUUCGACUCAAGGCAUCCGCAACCAUGUUUGCCUUGUCCAGAUGAUAGUGCACUUGAAGAUUACAAUCUUUAAUCAACACGAGCCACCUUCAUUGCCGCAUAUUCAAUUCAGGUUGGGUGAAGAUAUACUUAAGACUCUUAUGGUCGGUGUAAAUAGUGCACAGAUUACCCAACAAAUAGUGCCUCCAGAUCUUCAAAGUAUGGACAACUGUGGCCAAUUCUAAAUCAUGAGUAGGGUAAUUGACCUCAUGUUUUUGAAGUUGGCACGAAGCAUAUGUGAUAACGCGACCUUGUUGCAUAAGCACACAGCCCAAACCGAUACCCAAUGCAUCACAAAAGACAUCAAAAGGCUUCUCAAUAUCAGGUUGAGCCAGGACAGGAGCUGAUGUUAGCAAGGUCCUCAACUUAUGGAAUGCUUCCUCACAUUCUGGUGUCCACAUGAACUUCUCAUCUUUCUAAAGUAAGCGAGUCAUAAGCUUGGAUAUUUUGAAGAACUCCGGAAUGAAACAACGAUAAUACCCAGCCAAACCUAGAAAAUUUCGAUCUUGCACUUUGGCCGGAUCCACUGAUAUCCCUUCUUCAGACAAGACAUAGCCCAAGAAAGGUACUUUCUUUAGCUAGAACUCGCAUUUUCUAAACUUAGCAUAAAGCUGAUGCUCACGCAAAGGAGUUAACACUACACGUAGGUUCUCUGCAUGUUCUUCUUCAUUGCGAGAAUAUACUAGGAUAUAUUCAAUGAAGACCACCACAAAGUUGUCCAAUUCGGGCAUAAAGACCUAAUUCAUGAGAUACAUGAAGUGUGCCAGUGCAUUCAUAAGACCGAAGGACAUGACGAGAUACUCAUACAACCCAUAUCUCAUCGAGAAAGCCGUCUUCACGAUAGAUCUUGAUCUGAUGGUACCUAGAUCGUAAAUCAAUCUUGGAGAACACCUUAGCUUUAGACAAUUGAUCAAACCAGAUAUCAAUGCAAGGAAGAGGAUACUUAUUCUUGAUAGUCACCGCAUUAAGUGGGCGAUAAUCCACACACAUGCGCAAGGAUUGAUCUUUCUUCUUCACAAAGAUAGCCGGACAACCCCAAGGAGAAGAACUAGGACGAAUAACACCUUUCUUCAACAAUUCAUUCAACUGGGACUUAAGCUAUUGGGUAUUCUUAAUAUCAUUACCAAAAGUAGACUAAGUUCUCUAAAUCUACUAACGGUGCCAAAAAUGCCAAACCUAUCCCUCACACCACUUAAGCCAAGUUGUCAUCCCCGGCAUGACAUGAGAGACGCGGUAUUGAAAUAUGCAAUUGCUCUUCUAAAUAAAUAAUGAAUGAGAUCUGCAAGCGCACAGAUUAAUACCGAUGUAGCAUUUUAACCGGGAAGUAUUCCAGGUAUCGUUAUUUAUAUUUUUACCACUGGGAAGGGAUUAGUAACCAUCAAUAUUGAUUACAUAAUAGAAUAUGAGAUUGAGUAUCUAUCAUUGCAUGUAUAAUUGAGAACAUUUAUCUAACUCUUUCAUAGAGGGGUAAGUGUCACAUAAAAGAUAUAUGAAAUAAUGAAUAGUGACAAAGAUAAUUAAUCUGAUCAUAACUUAGCCACAUAUAAAUAUGAUAAGCACCUCAAUUAGAUACUCUAGAAAGUCAUUAGCAUGGAAUUAGAACGAACUACAAGAAUAUUUCCUAAGUUAUUCUCAACUAUAUAGUCUAGCAUUAUCAUAGUUAGUGCAAGCAUACUUAGCAAUCAUUGUGAGACAAGAUUAUGCCCAUGCAUAGUGAUAUUAGCAAGGUAACUGAGAAACAUAGCAAUCACUCCCCUGUAAUAAUAUUGCUGUGCCAGCCCAAUACACGAGAGGGGGACUAUAUAAGAAUCAAUGAAGUUGUCACUAUCACGAACUACCCCACGAUCUGGCAUAUUAGGUACAAUCGCAGAUAAAUACGGUAUAAGCACCACGCCUACACAAUAUCUAUCAUUUACCCAUGGAUCCGAUGAAUAAACGCUAUACGAUCCUAAGCAUGUAUAUAGAUCCAAUCUAACUAAGCCAAGUACAUAACUAUGACAAACUAAGAACAAUAUAAUCUUGAAUAUAAACAAGUAGAGCAAAGUCAUAAGCAAUAUAUUGAAGUAGAACAAAGUCAUAUUCAUAAUAUUGAAGAACAAAGAUAAUUAGAAAGCAAUUAGAAGCACAAUUAGAGAAUUACCAAGAAUCCUCUUGACAGGUCCGGAAAUCAAUCGAAGAUUGACUCCUUCUAGUUCUAAUCCUAUGUAGCUAUGCUAAUCUAGAUAUCUAAUUGAUGUGGUGGCUCUAAUCUUGAUCAGAGGCUUCUUCUCCCUUGAAGAACAAUGAAUUAGGGUUGAGAGGCUCUCUCCUCUAGGGGCCAGAGGGUCUGGUUUUAUAGUCCCUUCAAGUGAAUAUGGGCCGUUGGAUCAAACCAACAUUGAUUGAACGGUUAUCCUUGAUCCUUUAGGUCAGUGGAGAUCUCCCGAGAAACAGAGUCCUGAUUGGACUCCAGGUCAGGGCGGGCGCACUGCCUCUGGCCCCGUUCGGCCUCCGCUUUCUUCCCGUGGCUUCUGGAGUCUUCUACAUGUAAGAUAAUUGCGCGGGACGUUAAUAUCUCUAUGUAAUCCCGACGUGUGGGCCUUUCUUCCGUAUUUCCUGAUAACCCCCUGCAGAAAUAGACAAACACCAAAACUCGUGGAAUUCUGUCAGAUAAAACCCUAAGUCUAGAUGUUUAUUUCAUUUGGAUCCUUUUCUUUGUUUAUUUGAUAAUUAAAUUUGAUACUUAAGGACCAUCAACAAACUCCCCCAAGCUUACCUCUUGCUCGUCCCUGAGCAAGGAUAGACUCAGCUAUGGAUCAUAAGUUGUUGCAAUAUCUUUAAAAAUUGAUGGUACACAUGCUUUUUAAAUAAGAUCUCAUCUCUGAGUUAGAGUAAACUGUCAAGACUUAAAACUUACUUACUUUACCUUUUACCAUGGGACUUGUAACCGUCACUUCUGUCUUGACUAGUUAAAAGAUAGAACAGUCUAGUCAAGUGCCAUGUCUCUUAUUCUUGAUCAGCUAUAGCUCUAGAGUUUUUUGCAGAUUUUCAAAUAAAACUCAGAGAUUCCUUGUAUGAUUCUCUCAAAUCUCUCUUUUGUGGUAAUUCUGGAUCCUUACCAAGGCAGUGAUGGUAUAUGCCUUCUCUCAAAAUAUGUGGUAUUUGUGGUAUAAAGCAUAGUGACAUUGACUUCUCUCUCACCCUACUCUAAUAAGGCUUUAAUAUCUGGAGCUCAUAGGUGGGAGAUAAAGUAUACAUACUCACAAGACAUUUAUUGUAUAGUCAAACCAUGGAUCCAAAGAAACAAAUCAAUAAGUCAAAUCAAGAUUUGCAUGUGUGGCGAAUGAAUGGUAUAUGGUGAUGACGGUGAUAACAAUGGUGAAAGUCUAAUUCUACUUUUGCUCUUCUGAGGGGAUACAUACCUUCCUUGCUUUCUGAAACUUUUGAACAGAAUGAGAUGCUCUUAUUUUUCUUUUCACUCAGGUGGGUAUUUUGUACCCCUAAUUCUACUGUCGGACACUUGUCCAUUUUUACCUCUCGUCUCACUUUUUCUUUUCUUUCGAGGUUCCGGGCACUUGCCCCUUUUUAUUUCCUUGUAUCUUUUUUUUUCUCUCUCUUUUUUUUCAGAGCACUCAUCUCUUGAGAUAAUAUAGCAAGUGGUAGUAACAAGAUAACUUGAGCAUUUAUUUCACAGGGAAAAACAGAAAUAUUUUUGGCUAUUCUCUCCCGGAUUAGGAGUAGAAUAUGUUUAGGUGGUUCUGGAGAUGAAAAUGGGUGGAUAUAUGUGGAUGGUACUUCUGGAGUAGAAGUAGCAUAUAUGAGUGAACGUGCAAGUGAAAUCUUGAUUUUAACUACAUGACAAGCUCCUAAGGGUCUACACAGCUUGACCACACUCAAUGCUCAUAAGCAGUAAAUAGUAAAUGUGUGGCUCAAAGUCUAGCAAGCAUGUAUAUAUGGCUGUGGUAGAAAUUUAAACUCUCAUCAUACAGGAACUCAUCAUGCAAUAUUUUAAAGAUUUUUAAAGCUAAAAUUCUCUAGAAUUCUAGCAUCUCUAGGAACAGAUAAACAGCAGCUCAACCUUCCCAUAUCAUAUCCGUUAACAACUUAGACUUCAGAUCAAGUUUUCAUCCCACAAGUUUAGGUCUAGAGCAAGCUUUAAAUUAUAACAGUUAUGUCUAAACUUGAGAGAGAACUUAAAAUGUGCAAAUUAGGUAGAGCAACUAUUCAUGAUAUCCAUGCUAGAGUUUUAUUAUUAAGAUACAGAUUAGCAUAGCCACUCUAUUUAUUUAUUAAACACACUAGGCAAAAGAUAUAAGCACAAAAUCUUUAUUUGGUUUUUCCUGGUUUAUGUAUAUUUAUAUUCUAAAAUAGUAUAAGUUUAAAGAUAGAUAGAUAGAAAUACUUAUCGGGAUAAAUAGGGGUGCUCUCCCCCAAGCUGAAUUUUGACGUAAUUUCUCUUGAUGUAGCUAGCAGGUGAGGUGUAUUUGAAAGUCAGCAGCAUUCUGUCAGCGAUUAGAAUGUCCUCCGUCUACUAGUCUUCUUGAUUCUUAAAUUCUGUGGAGCUCAAAUAGACAACAAAGCUUGUGGAAUUGAUUAAGUGUUAGCAUAAAUAUCUAGCCUUUAUCAUGUUGAGACUCCAUAAUAUUUGUUACUCCCUGUUUUUAUAUUUUUAUUUUAUAAAGCAGAAAAGAAAUAUUUAUUUUAUUUUUAUGCCACCACAGUGAAUGUACUUAUGGGUUUGAUGCCACUCGUAUACUCACAUGGGGCUUACAGUUUUUCACAUUUUUAUUUUAUUUUUAAGAUAGUAUGAAUAUGAUUAACUAAGUAAAAUAAUUGAAAGGGAAAGGAUAACUAUCAAGUUUACCUCUUGGCAAGACGUUCGGUGUUUUUAUGUCCUCCGAACAGGACUCUCCAUUUUCUCAAUUGUCCUGGAAUUCGUUGGGUGGCGGAGUCGGUACUUCCGGCAGCGCCUCUUCUUCAUGUAUAGUUAUCUUCUCUUUCCAUACCUGACUCGGUGCUUCAGUCUCCUCUGGAUAAUUCUGUUUAAACUCUACGUCUUCUGACCUUACAACUUCUCCUUCAUAGUCUGCCCAUCCGUCCUUGAUGAUUUGCCUCCUCUGGUUGCGUCAUUUUCUUACCUGCUUAGAUUCUUCAAAGAUGUAGUUAGGGUCAGUAAAAUAACGGCGUACCUUCUCUGAGGGGAAGUGCAUAUGGACUUCUCCAGUUCCAAUGUAGAUAAUUGCUUUAACAGUGCUGAGGAACGGUCUUCCAAGGAUGAUGGGUGGAUCGUAUUCAUCUUCUCCCAUGUCAAUAACCUGAAAGUCUGUGUAGACAAAAUGAUCGUCUAUUUUGACUGGGACAUCCGUUACUGUUCCUUUAACUUCUCGAGAUGUCUGAUCUGCCAUCUGGAGCUGAAUGUAUGUUAGUCUUAGUGGCAUGGUUCCGAACAAGAGCCGAUAGGUGACUACGGCCAUUAUGUUGACGCCCGAUCCGGUGUCGCAAAACGUCUUGUAGAAGCUGUAUCCAUUUAUGGAGCAGUAGAUGCUUGGCAUUACUAGGUCGUCCUUCUUGGUCAAAAACGAUGACUUAAGUUGAUGAUCUUGACCUCCAUGAACUGCAGUGACCAUCUUAGCUGAUUCGGUCCACACUUGCUUGUCUUGUUUCCUCCUGUUGUUCCCUCCCUUGAUUCACGUCUGGAAUGAUCUGGGAUUUGUGUAGCUUGUUCUGGAAGAAAAAUGUCUCCUUCCUCCCUUUGAUGUAGAAACUGAUCUUGGCAGCACUAGCAUAGAUGACAGCUCCCGAGGUGUUUAAGAAUGGCCUCCCUAAGAUGAUGGGUGCUCUCUCAUCACUACCGGUAUCUAUCACCACGAAGUCUGCUAGGGCGUACAAGGUACCAACUUGGACACAAAGGUUCUUCAAUAUUCCUUUUGGAAAACUUAUCGUCUGAUCUGCAAACUGCAAACACAUGGUUGUCUCUAAUAAAGGAUAUGUAAAGAAUUUUUCAUGGAGUACCCUAGGUAUAAUGUUGACACUGGAGCCAAAGUCGCAGAGUGCUUCUGGGAAGUCCACCAUUCCGAUGGAGAUCGGGAUGACGGGGCGUCCUGGAUCGCCUCUCUUGACCGGCAGAAGGUCAGUAGUAAAUUCAGUGACGGGGUUACUCCAAUUACCUGCAUCAAACAUGUCUACAAGAUUUGCAGAUUCUAAUCCUUCCGGUUGUGAUGGUAUACCGGGGUUAGUAGCAGGAACAGCAGCAGCUAUUUGAUUUAACUGAGAUUCAAUCAUUUUAUUAAAGCUAAUUUGAUUCUUGAUGGCAGUAGAGAAAUUAUCCGGUCUAUUAUUUAUAUUUUCUAGCAUUUUAUCAUUUGAUGCCAAUUUCUUAGAUAGAUUAUCCAUUAGCUUUCCUUGAUUAGACACUAACUCUCUCAAAGGUGGAAAAUUAUUAUUAUUGUUGUAAGAACUGUUACCUUGAUAAUUACCUGAGUAGUUAGGCCUCUGUUGAUUCCAACCUUGAUUUUGUUGAGGACGGUUGUAGUAGUUGUUGUUGUUAUUGUUGAUGCAGUUCACAUCCUCAAGUAUCUCAGGGCAGUGAUUGCCUGAGUGUCCAGUAUCUCCACACUCCUCACAAGUCAUGUGAGAGUCGUAGAUGUGCAUAACUUCUUUCUUGUCUCCAUCUCUAUCAUCGAGCUUCUUCAUGAGCAGGUCUAGCUUUGCAGAUAGCAUGUCUACCUCCUUGAGCUGAUGCAUACCUCCACCUCUCUUGCGUGUCUGGGUCCUCUCUUCAUUCCAGCCUUGGUUGGACGCCAUCUUCUCCACAAGAGCUGUGGCUUGUCAUAUGGUAAGUGAUAAGAAUGCUCCUCCAGCUGCAGCAUCCAUGGUUUCUCGGGCACUGUUGCUGAGCCCAUGAUAAAACGUCUCUAUUAGUAGCCAACCCUCCAUUCCAUGUUGGGGACAUUAUAAGAUGUAGUCUUGGAAGCGCUCCCAUGCUUCUGGAACAGAUUCAUCAUGUUGUUGCUGAAAACUUGUAAUCUUCCCACGGAGAGCAUUGGUCUUGCCCAUGGGAAAGAACUUAGCCAGGAAGUUUGUUGAGCAGAGUGCCCACGUAGUAUUCUUCUCCUUUGUAGCGUAAAACCACUGCUUCGCUCUUCCUAGCAGUGAGAAUGGGAAGAGGCGAAGUAGUAUAGCAUCUCUGGGGACUCCUGAUAUGGUGAAUGUGCUGCAAAUCUCCAGGAAGUGUUGGAGAUGAGCACUAGCAUCUUCGUGUGCCUUCCCACAGAACUGGUUGGAUUGCACCAUGUUGAUAAGUCCAGGCUUGAGCUCAAAGUUGCCGUCGAUCUCUGCAGCAGGUCCUGUGCUGAUGUUGUCCGUAGUGGGAGCUGAGAACUCGCGGAUCGAUUUGUUCGCCAUGGCUUCGAACUCUGAAGACAAGUUUCGGUGAUUUUCUUCAUUGGAUGAAGCUUCUUGCUGAAGUGUUGAUGAUCUCUUCUUGAGCUUUGCUUUUGUCUUCUUGAAUAAUGCUUUGGGAUUGUCUUCUAUUCAUACAUUCCCCUGCAUAAGAUAAAAUGGAAAAAUAUCGGGGUAAAACUGUAUGAGAGAAUAGAUAAGCUCAAUCAUAUUAGUGACGCGAAUGAUAACUCAAAAUCCUUUAUUCCAUUCCGGAUUAGUAAUCAACCUUCCCCGGCAACGGCGCCAAAAAUGCUUGUUGGGUAUUCUUAACAUCAUUACCAAAAGUAGACUAAGUUCUCUAAAUCUAGUAACGGUGCCAAAAAUGCCAAACCUAUCCCUCACACCACUUAAGCCAAGUUGUCAUCCCCAGCAUGACAUGAGAGACGCGGUAUUGAAAUAUGCAAUUGCUCUUCUAAAUAAAUAAUGAAUGGGAUCUGCAAGCGCACAGAUUAAUACCGAUGUAGCAUUUUAACCAGGAAGUAUUCCAGGUAUCGUUAUUUAUAUUUUUACCACUGGGAAGGGAUUAGUAACCAUCAAUAUUGAUUACAUAAUAGAAUAUGAGAUUGAGUAUCUAUCAUUGCAUGUAUAAUUGAGAACAUUUAUCUAACUCUUUCAUACAGGGGUAAGUGUCACAUAAAAGAUAUAUGAAAUAAUGAAUAGUGACAAAGAUAAUUAAUCUGAUCAUAACUUAGCCACAUAUAAAUAUGAUAAGCACCUCAAUUAGAUACUCUAUAAAGUCAUUAGCAUGGAAUUAGAACGAACUACAAGAAUAUUUCCUAAGUUAUUCUCAACUAUAUAGUCUAGCAUCAUCAUAGUUAGUGCAAGCAUACUUAGCAAUCAUUGUGAGACAAGAUUACGCCCAUGCAUAGUGAUAUUAGCAAGGUAACUGAGAAACAUAGCAAUCACUCUCCUGUAAUAAUAUUGCUGUGCCAGCCCAAUACACGAGCGGGGGACUAUAUAAGAAUCAAUGAAGCUGUCACUAUCACGAACUACCCCACGAUCUGGCAUAUUAGGUACAAUCGCAGAUAAAUACGGUAUAAGCACCACGCCUACACAAUAUCUAUCAUUUACCCAUGGAUCCGAUGGAUAAACGCUAUACGAUCCUAAGCAUGUAUAUAGAUCCAAUCUAACUAAGCCAAGUACAUAACUAUAACAAACUAAGAACAAUAUAAUCUUGAAUAUAAACAAGUAGAGCAAAGUCAUAAGCAAUAUAUUGAAGUAGAACAAAGUCAUAUCCAUAAUAUUGAAGAACAAAGAUAAUUAGAAAGCAAUUAGAAGCACAAGUAGAGAAUUACCAAGAAUCCUCUUGACAGGUCCGGAAACCAAUCGAAGAUUGACUCCUUCUAGUUCUAAUCCUAUGUAGCUAUGCUAAUCUAGAUAUCUAAUUGAUGUGGUGGCUCUAAUCUUGAUCAGAGGCUUCUUCUCCCUUGAAGAACAAUGAAUUAGGGUUGAGAGGCUCUCUCCUCUAGGAGCCAGGGGGUCUGGUUUUAUAGUCCCUUCAAGUGAAUAUGGGCCGUUGGAUCAAACCAACAUUGAUUGAACGGUUAUCCUUGAUCCUUUAGGUCAGUGGAGAUCUCCAGAGAAACAGAGUCCUGAUUGGACUCCAGGUCAGGGCGGGCGCCCAGGGCAGGAGGGCGGGCGCCCUGCCUCUGGCCCCGUUCGGCCUCCGCUUUCUUCCCGUGGCUUCUGGAGUCUUCUAGAUGUAAGAUAAUUGCGCGGCACGUUAAUAUCUCUAUGUAAUCCCGACGUGUGGGCCUUUCUUCCGUAUUUCCUGAUAAACCCCUGCAGAAAUAGACAAACACCAAAACUCAUGGAAUUCUGUUAGAUAAAACCCUAAGUCUAGAUGUUGAUUUCAUUCGGAUCCUUUUCUUUGUUUAUUUGAUAAUUAAAUUUGAUACUUAAGGACCAUCAACAAACUCCCCCAAGCUGACCUCUUGCUCGUCCCUGAGCAAGGAUAGACUCAGCUAUGGAUCAUAAGUUGUUGCAAUAUCUUUAAAAAUUGAUGGUACACAUGCUUUUUAAAUAAGAUCUCAUCUCUGAGUUAGAGUAAACUGUCAAGACUUAAAACUUACUUACUUUACCUUUUACCAUGGGACUUGUAACCGUCACUUCUGUCUUGAGUAGUUAAAAGAUAGAACAGUCUAGUCAAGUGCCAUAUCUCUUAUUCUUGAUCAGCUAUAGCUCUAGAGUUUUUUGCAGAUUUUCAAAUAAAACUCAGAGAUUCCUUGUAUGAUUCUCUCAAAUCUCUCUUUUGUGGUAAUUUUGGAUCCUUACCAAGGCAGUGAUGGUAUAUGCCUUCUCUCAAAAUAUGUGGUAUUUGUGGUAUAAAGCAUAGUGACAUUGACUUCUCUCUCACCCUACUCUAAUAAGGCUUUAAUAUUUGGAGCUCAUAGGUGGGAGAUAAAGUAUACAUACUCACAAGACAUUUAUUGUAUAGUCAAACCAUGGAUCCAAAGAAACAAAUCAAUAAGUCAAAUCAAGAUUUGCAUGUGUGGCGAAUGAAUGGUAUAUGGUGAUGACGGUGAUAACAAUGGUGAAAGUCUAAUUCUACUUUUGCUCUUCUGAGGGGAUACAUACCUUCCUUGCUUUCUGAAACUUUUGAAGAGAAUGAGAUGCUCUUAUUUUUCUUUUCACUCAGGUGGGUAUUUUGUACCCCUAAUUCUACUGUCGGACACUUGUCCAUUUUCACCUCUCGUCUCACUUUUUCUUUUCUUUCGAGGUUCCGGGCACUUGCCCCUUUUUAUUUCCUCGUAUCUUUUUUUUUCUCUCUCUUUUUUUCAGAGCACUCAUCUCUUGAGAUAAUAUAGCAAGUGGUAGUAACAAGAUAACUUGAGCAUUUAUUUCACAGGGAAAAACAGAAAUAUUUUUGGCUAUUCUCUCCCGGAUUAGGAGUAGAAUAUGUUUAGGUGGUUCUGGAGAUGAAAAUGGGUGGAUAUAUGUGGAUGGUACUUCUAGAGUAGAAGUAGCAUAUAUGAGUGAACGUGCAAGUGAAAUCUUGAUUUUAACUACAUGACAAGCUCCUAAGGGUCUACACAGCUUGACCACACUCAAUGCUCAUAAGCAGUAAAUAGUAAAUGUGUGGCUCAAAGUCUAGCAAGCAUGUAUAUAUGGCUAUGGUAGAAAUUUAAACUCUCAUCAUACAGGAACUCAUCAUGCAAUAUUUUAAAGAUUUUUAAAGCUAAAAUUCUCCAGAAUUCUAGCAUCUCUAGGAACAGAUAAACAGCAGCUCAACCUUCCCAUAUCAUAUCCGUUAACAACUUAGACUUCAGAUCAAGUUUUCAUCCCACAAGUUUAGGUCUAGAGCAAGCUUUAAAUUAUAACAGUUAUGUCUAAACUUGAGAGAGAACUUAAAAUGUGCAAAUUAGGCAGAGCAACUAUUCAUGAUAUCCAUGCUAGAGUUUUAUUAUUAAGAUACAGAUUAGCAUAGCCACUCUAUUUAUUUAUUAAACAUACUAGGCAAAAGAUAUAAGCACAAAAUCUUUAUUUGGUUUUUCCUGGUUUAUGUAUAUUUAUAUUCUAAAAUAGUAUAAGUUUAAAGAUAGAUAGAUAGAAAUACUUAUCGGGAUAAAUAGGGGUGCUCCCCUCCAAGCUGAAUUUUGACGUAAUUUCUCUUGAUGUAGCUAGCAGGUGAGGUGUAUUUGAAAGUCAGCAGCAUUCUGACAGCGAUUAGAAUGUCCUCCGUCUACUAGUCUUCUUGAUUCUUAAAUUCUGUGGAGCUCAAACAGACAACAAAGCUUGUGGAAUUGAUUAAGUGCUAGCAUAAAUAUCUAGCCUUUAUCAUGUUGAGACUCCUUAAUAUUUGUUACUCCCUGUUUUUAUAUUUUUAUUUUAUAAAGCAGAAAAGAAAUAUUUAUUUUAUUUUUAUGCCACCACAGUGAAUGUUCUUAUGGGUUUGAUGCCACUCGUAUACUCACAUGGGGCUUACAGUUUUUCACAUUUUUAUUUUAUUUUUAAGAUAGUAUGAAUAUGAUUAACUAAGUAAAAUAAUUGAAAGGGAAAGGAUAACUACCAAGUUUACCUCUUGGCAAGGCAUUCGGUGUUUUUAUGUCCUCCGAACAGGACUCUCCAUUUUCUCAAUUGUCCUGGGAUUCGUUGGGUGGCGCAGUCGGUACUUCCGGUAGCGCCUCUUCUUCAUGUAUAGUUAUCUUCUCUUUCCAUACCUGACUCGGUGCUUCGGUCUCCUCUGGAUAAUUCUGUUUAAACUCUACGUCUUCUGACCUUAAAACUUCUCCUUCAUAGUCUGCCCAUCCGUCCUUGAUGAUUUGCCUCCUCUGGUUGCGUCAUUUUCUUACCUGCUUAGAUUCUUCAAAGAUGCAGUUAGGGUCAGUAAAAUAACGGCGUACCUUCUCUGAGGGGAAGUGCAUAUGGACUUCUCCAGUUCCAAUGUAGAUAAUUGCUUUAACAGUGCUGAGGAACGGUCUUCCAAGGAUGAUGGGUGGAUCGUAUUCAUCUUCUCCCAUGUCAAUAACCUGAAAGUCUGUGUAGACAAAAUGAUCGUCUAUUUUGACUGGGACAUCAGUUACUGUUCCUUUAACUUCUCGACAUGUCUGAUCUGCCAUCUGGAGCUGAAUGUAUGUUAGUCUUAGUGGCAUGGUUCCGAACAAGAGCCGAUAGGUGACUGAGGCCAUUAUGUUGACGCCCGAUCUGGUGUCGCAAAACGUCUUGUAGAAGCUGUAUCCAUUUAUGGAGCAGUAGAUGCUUGGCAUUCCUAGGUCGUCCUUCUUGGUCAAAAACGGUGACUUAAGUUGAUGAUCUUGACCUCCAUGAACUGCAGUGACCAUCUUAGCUGAUUCGGUCCACACUUGCUUGUUCUUGUUCCUCCUGUUGGUCCUCUUCCUUGAUUCAUGUCUCGAUUGAUCUGGGAUUUGUGUAGCCUUGUUCUUGAAGAAAAAUGUCUCCUUCCUCCCUUUGAUGUAGAAACUGAUCUUGGCAGCACUAGCAUAGAUGACAGCUCCCGAGGUGUUUAAGAAUGGCCUCCCUAAGAUGAUGGGUGCUCUCUCAUCACUACCGGUCUCUAUCACCACGAAGU